UGCGAAGAUGACAAACCUUUUGCAUCGAAGUAUGAAUACUCAAGAGAGAAGGCGGAAGCUCUGGGUGUCGACUUCACUCCUUUAGAGAUCAGUCUAAGAGACACCAUUGAAUCUUUACGGGAGAAGGGGUUCAUCUCGGUCUAGGCACCUGCUUAAAAACAGCACGUCUGAUAAUUCGAGGUUCCUUGCUUUCUGUCCUCCGUCACAUCCCUCAUACUCAUAUGUGCAGAAUAACCUAUGCGCAUCCACUUUACGAAACAAGUUUUACCGGUUGAAGUUUCUUCACGUGAUUUGUAGUCCGAUAUGACUUACAACUAGAAUUGUAGAAUAUCUGCAGAAAUCUCUAAAGACCUGCAUCUUCUUGGGGUAAUAUUGCGAAUGAACAAGUUGAGCUAGCAUUUUAUUGGACGCCCUCAUCUCCGGUGUACUCCAUUAGAAGCUACGUGGAAGAAAAAGAUGACUACGUACAUACCAUUUAAAACCAGAUCAGAUACUCAGAAACCAAGGAUUUACAAAGGAAGAAUUUCUUUUCCACGAGAAAGACAUAUGGGAAGACGAGAGAAAAUUGAAGAGAGGAAUCCAUUGGCCAAGGACAAAGGGAGAUUCCGCACCACUCGCUCCACGUUUGCCUCGUCCUUGUUGUGAAUCUUGCCGAGAAACGCCCAUGGCAACGCUGAAAGUAGUAUUCCUUUUGCUUGCCUUCCUUUUGAAAACUUUGUGUUGUUUCCUUAUUUAGUACAUAACCUUUUAUGUGUUUCAUUAGUGUGAUUAUAUAAAACUUGUCGCGCAGAAUUCUAAUAUUUCCUUGCCAAAUAACAAACAACUUUCCAUGCAGGAUGAUUUUAUGAUAUGAUUAGCAAACUUUAUAUCUUAGUGUAAAGUAGUGUAACCGACAGCUUGUGGGUCAACGGUGAUUUACCAAAAUGUUGACAGUUUACCAACGAUAAAUACAGUAAUACUUUAUCAACCUUCUCCUUUUUUUUCACUAAGUUAUCACUCUAAACAAAAAAUUCAAAUGCGAAAUUAGUGACUUCCCAGUGAAAUUGCAAGGUAGUAAGUUCCUAGCAGAGUGAAGAAUUUAUUGACUUCAAAUGAAAUGCAAGCUAUCCUUAUUUCGCUGCUAAGUCACUAACUAUUGGGCCACAAACGUAAAAUAGCAAGUUAUCAUCUUAGAAAUUUUCUGCUUAGUAGAUGGAUCCGCUCGUAAAAUUUGAAAGUAUUUGAUAAUUCAUUAGUUGAUAUGAGGUCAUGACAUCAUUAUUUUAUCAGUGAGUUAUUAACUAUUUGAUGUGUUCACUUUAAAUUUUAAAGCACCGUUGAUCUAUUACUAUAUAUUAUGUUUGAGAACGGUAAAAUCUUAAUUAUGGUGGUAAGUUUCUAAUUAAUUAAUUGGGCCACUUGUAAAAUUUUGAAGUACUUGAUAACCUACUCCUCGAUAGGAGAUAAAAUCAUUAUUUCGCCGGUAAGUCACUAAGGGCCACAAAUGUGAACUUCUGGUACGCGAUUUGAAAAUGAUCAAAUCAUUGUUUCAAUGACGAGUUACUAGUUCACUGACGAAAUCAUCUUGUAGAUUUUUUCUUUAAAAAAUAGUAAUCUACUACCGAUGUGAGUGUGGUAAAAUCAUCAGGGAAAAUACCAAAUAUGUGGAUGCCUACCAUGAACGUGUUUGGAAAUAUUUAGCCAAUUUAAUUACUCUGUAGCAUGACAUAGUUGAAAUUUAGCCAAUAUGGAUGUGAUGUAACAUGGGAAAAUUGUUUAUCCAUGUCACACAACAGCAUCAUCCGGCGGCCACACUAGUUAGAUUUUCCAAAAUUUGGUGUCAUUGGGAAUUGAUUAGAAAAAUUGUGAAAGUAGAAGGAUUUGAUAAGACAUAUUAAAUGUACAUGGACUUGAUCAAAGAAUCGUGCAAGUACAUGAAUGAAAAGUAGAGUUUGACUUUCUUCUAUGGAUAACUACCGCCUCUUAGAAAUAUACCAAUUAUUGAAAAGAUAAAUUUGUUAACGGAACGCCAUCAUCUUCAGUUAUGUUACGACUGGAUGACAAAUUCUAGUAACAAAGUACUCUCCACAUCCAUGGCCACGAUGAAUAAAAUACGAAAUAAAGAUUAGAUAGACUCAUUGUGAUAUGCAUUAAUAUUGAUAAUCCAAGCACAAGCAUAGAGCUCGACUAUUUGAAAAUCUAUUAAAUACCCCAUAAGUCCCAUGAAGAGGUUAAAUUCAAUUUUUAGCUUAUUUUUGUGACUUUGACUAAUAGUAGUUUACACAAAAUUAAUGAAAAAAUUACAUGGGGCUAAAUUGAAACGAAUCUUUCCUGUAGGCAUGGCAUCCGAAGACAUUUCCUUGAGCCGUAGCCGGUUUAGACAAGUAAGUUGCCUUUGAGUCAGGCAUGACACAAGUGAUCGGAUAUUUUGGUCGAUGCCCAACCCUUGUGGUCUAGAAUAGGUGAUCAUUCAAAGUUUCUCCAUCUAUCUUCUCUGAUUGAAGGAUUUAAGUUGGUGAGACGUGAAUGUUGAAAAUUAUUCAAGUUGAACAUUAUCUGAAAGCCAUCAUAGAUGAUUUUUCUUUUCCUUAUAUAUAGAAUGCAAAUGUUAUGUACCAUCCAAAGGACCAGUAGAAGAUUCAGCUCCAAGGAUAGGAGAGAAGAGAGGGAAAAUGAGCACAACAGAGAAGGUGGUUUGUGUAACCGGAGGGGCUGGUUACAUAGCAUCAUGGCUCAUCAACUUGCUGCUUCAUAGGGGCUAUACAGUCAAAGCGACCAUCCGCGACACCAGUAAGUUCAUCGUUUCAUCUUCAUGUUUUGUUCUUAAUAAUUUUUUUUUUUUUUUUGGAUUCUUGGGUGGUGCACUCUAUUCUUAGAAAAUGAUUCACAGUUUCUUAGUCGAAUCAUUCUGAUGCAUGGACUUUGUACUAAAUUCCGUUUUUAUCAGAAAGUGUGCUUUUCUAAUCGUCUCUUCCCAUUUGGAUUCACUCGCAUAUGCGUGUAUGUAUUUGGAAGUGCAUAACUGCAUGUGUACGCAUAUACUGAUUUGUCUAUGUGCUUUUGGAGCUCUGGCAAUAUAACAUGUUCGAGUUCGCUGCCUAAAGAGUUAAUCCCUUGCAAUAUUCAAAUCCAUUAUGUCUUAAUCCUGGUUUUUUUAUAGAUGUGGAUAUGUUGCAACUCAGGUCAAGAUCAAGUACUAGCAUGUUUCAUGAUUCAUAACUUGAUGUCAUUCUAUAUGAAGGAACUUAGAUUGUGAUCAAUCAGAUCUAAUUCUGCAUUCUGGUAUGUGCAUAUAAGCAGAUGAUUCACGGAAGACACAACAUCUUCUGGCACUUGGAGGGGCCAAGGAGAGGCUCCAUUUGUUUAAAGCAGAUUUGCUAGAAGAAGGGUCCUUUGACUCGAUAGUCGAUGGGUGCGGAGCUGUUUUUCAUACAGCAUCACCUGUGGUUUUCUCAGCUUCGGAUCCCCAGGUGUCUGCACUUAUCAGUUCGUUCCGCUUUGUACCGGAGAUUCAUAUGAUAGAUGAUCUCAUAUUACUUGGGUGAUUUGGCAAAAUCGUACUGAUGAUCUCCUUCAUGUUGCAGGCUGAAAUAGUGGAUCCUGCAGUCAGAGGCACCUUAAACGUUCUCAAAUCAUGUGCAAAAGUCCCUUCUAUCAAGCGAGUGGUUUUGACCUCCUCUAUGGCUGCAGUAGUGUUCAAUGGAAAACCUCUGACCUCUGGUGUGGUGGUUGAUGAAACAUGGUUCUCUGAUCCGGUUUUCUGCGAGGAAUCAAAGGUAGUAAGACGCUUUUUCUUGACAUUGUUGGUCUCUUUGCUUGGUCCAUUGUCUGUGAGUUCGUUCAUCGCAUUGUUGUGGCUCUGCUAUUUUCAGCUUUGGUAUCUGCUCUCCAAAACCUUGGCGGAGAAGGCUGCUUGGAAAUUUGCUAAAGAGAAGAGGAUCGACCUGGUCGUGAUGAACCCAGGACAUGUGAUUGGCCCUCUUUUGCAGCCUACAGUCAAUCUCUCGGUGGAAUUGAUAUUGAACUUUGUCAACGGUAUUACUUGAUGGUUUCUAUGUCACGCGUACUAUUUUCCAUGAAAUGAUUCUUUCUUCUACACAUCAUGUCAGCAUUUGGCAUCUCUUUUAAAUUCUGAGAUUGACCAGGGGAGGAUUGAUGCAAUGUCAUAACUGCAUAAUUAGAUGCAAUCCAUUUCCAUGUGCAAGAAGAAACACGGUUGCUCAAGGAAAUUGAUUUUCCAUUAAAAAUGGUGUCAGCAGUGGGACUAAUCGAGACAUGUAUGAUAUAGGAACUGAAGAAUUUCCCAAUGCGUCCUAUGGAUUUGUUGAUGUCCGAGACGUCGCACGAGCACAUAUUCAAGCUCUUGAAAACCCUUCAGCCAGUGGCAGAUAUUGCAUAGUUGGAGGAGUAAUGCACCGUCCUGACAUGUCGAAGAUCUUGCACCAUCUCUAUCCCACAUUGCGCCUCCCAGAAAAGUAAGUUCCCGUUUUUGUUCAACACCAUAGAUUAAAGGGUAACUUUUUUCUCUUAAGAGCAAGUUGAGAAAUGGUCUUAUGUCGAGCAUAUACACUAACGUUAACCGAUGCUGCACGAAUCAUGCGUUUUGACCACAGAUGUGAAGAUGACAAGCUUGCUGUGGCGGCUCAUCAGAUAUCAAGGGAAAAAGUAGAAGGUUUGGGUGUGAAUUUUAUACCUCUGGAGGUUAGCAUAAAAGAAACUGUUGAAAGCCUCAAGGAGAAAGGUUUCCUCUCUUUUUGAGCUUUAUCUUCGGAGGUCGGCCUAAGCAACAUCAUUGGGAGCCUCAAGGGCGAAGGCAGAAUCUCUCUAUUUAAGCUAGCUUUUCUCGAUCGAUGACGCUGACCUCAUAGUCAUACUUAAAAGGUUGCUGAUAAUGUAUUGUAUAUUUCAUCUAGUUAUUGUGGUCGGACCAUGUAUGAUCUUUUGUACUCUUGUUGAAUAGAGCUUUCCAUCUCUAAACUUGAAAGAUGAUGCAAUGCUGAAUGUCUAUCCUAUAGUCAUUGUAUGCGAAUUUGUUUUAAUAUUUAAUAACAAUAUCAGGAUAAUUUAGUGUGAUAAUAUUGAAAAUAUUUUAUUGGAAAAAUCAAGGGAGUUGAAGGGCUCAAUAUAUCCAAGAAAAAGUCCAACAAAAAAAAAACAUAAAUUAAGGGAUCAAAUAUGGUUUAUCCCAAAUCAAGAAUUAGAUAAGUACAACUACUUGAUACUUCCUAUAAAUAUAAAAGAAAAUUUUAAAUUAAUAUCUCAAAGCUUAAAGUAAAGCUACUCACGAGGAGGUGGAAGAGUUCCUCUUGAAAUUGGGCGCCGCCCCAGGACAUUGGAAAGCGAUACGAACCUUUUGGCUCAAAGAAAAGUCGAAACGAAAUGUAAUUUAUUACCCAGUAAUGUCACGUACGUAAUGGCUUACGAGUUGCGAGAAGCCGUCUGUCGUCAACAAAUGGGUUUGGAUUAUUUUCAAAGAUUCGGUCGAACAUCGGGCUCUUUAUAAUAAGGUCCAUCUGCUGCUCCAAGAGAGGAGACCAGCGCGCGCGCGAACUCCACACGGUUCAGGUGCCAAGAACGGAGGAGAUGAGCGGAGCAGAGAAGGUGGUGGGCGUGAUCGGAGGGUCGGGUUACAUAGCUUCUUGGCUGGUCAAGCUCUUGCUCCUCCGUGGCUACACUGUUCGAGCCACUGUCCGAGACCCAUGUAAGAAAAGAGUUCCCUUUCUUUAUACUCUCUCUCUCUCUCUCUCUCUCUGCGCUCUGCUCUGCUCUUUUGACCUUCUUGGGUGUUGUCAAGCUGUUGGAAGAAAAAAAACAGAGCUGUUGAAAUCUGAUAACCCACAUGAAGUUAUGUCCAAACCCUUUGCUAGAGUGAAACCAUCAAAGCUAUUUUUUUCUCUGAGAGAAGAAUUUUGGUAGCUUCAUUAGUUUUGUGUUGUAGAUUGCCCUCUAAUCUAUGUAUCUAUCCAAUAAAGUUCAAAUCUUUUGCAUCCUGUUCGACUUUGUUGAAGAAAUGGCACCCUCAAACCAUCGUCUAGAUUCCGGAUUCUUGAUUUAUUUAUUUUCAGUAUCGGUUUUGCACAUGUUUCUCCGGGAACAAUACGGCUCUUCUUGUCCCGCCUAUGCCCUUUCUGACUGUAGAUGCUACUGAUGUGUCGGUGAGGGUGCUUGCAAGUUUUAGAAUUUCAAUCAGUUGAAUGGAGAUUUUUCUCAUUCUUGUGCAUGUGCAACAGCCGACCCAAAGAAGACAGGACACCUUCUGGCACUGGAGGGGGCAAAGGAGAGGCUGCAUUUAUUCGAAGCAGAAUUGCUGGAAGAAGGGUCCUUUGACUCGGUAGUCGAUGGAUGCGAAUGUGUUUUUCACACUGCAUCGCCUGUUUUGUUCUCAGCUGCUGACCCCCAGGUGCUUGAAUCUUGCCAUGUUAAUCAUCCAACGUUGUCCUUGUUUUCCUAAAUAAGUAGAUAGCUCAUGGACAAACCAUUCCAUUCCAUGUGGAAGGGGAUUUGCUUUUCUUCUGCCACAAUGAGUUCAGUUUCGGUUUUCUGAUACUUUUUAUGAGAAUUUUACCGAAUGAUUUCUUCCAUUGCAUGACUCAGGCUGAAUUAAUUGAUCCUGCCCUAAAAGGCACCCUUAAUGUUCUAAGAUCAUUCGCCAAAGCCUCUUCUAUCAAGAGAGUAGUUGUGACGUCCUCUAUGGCUGCAGUUGCAUUCAGUGCAAAACCUGUGACUUCAGGUGUUGUCAUUGAUGAGACUUGGCAUUCAGAUCCAGAAUUUUGCGAGAAAUCCAAGGUUUGUAUAUCAAAAUUUCCUGACAAUAUGGCUGUUCAUUUCUUUCACUUGUGAAAUUUUACUGUUGAAUUACAUUCAGAGUUCCUGUUACUCGGUGAAACUGGUAAAAUGCUGAUUCUGAGAGGAGUUGGGACAUCAGGGAACAUCUCUCUUAAAUCACAUAGCUUUCACUACACUUUUUACGGAUACCCGAACCAAGGAGUGCCUGUCUUAUCACUUACAGUUGUUUGUGUUACUCUUGCAAUUUAGCCUGGCACCAUGUUAGAUGCUACAUAUGCUUAUUGAAUACAGCAGUUUCUACAUACUUCCUGGAGGAGAACUACUUAUCUUUCGUUUCUUUGAACCGGUAAUCUCCGAAUGCCUUGGAUGACAUCGAAUGAAGUCCAUGUCAUGGCAAUGGUUAUUAUAUGUGUUGAAUGAGGCGAAACAUUCUAACAGUCUCUUUGGCUUAUCUAUCUUCAGCUCUGGUAUAUGCUUUCAAAAACCUUAGCAGAGAAGGCAGCUUGGGAAUUCGCCAAAGAAAAUGGAAUUGACCUUGUCACGAUAAACCCAGGAUAUGUGAUCGGUCCCAUCUUGCAGCCCACUGUUAAUUUCUCCGUGGAGAUAAUACUGAACCUCCUUAAUGGUAUCACUAUCAUCUAGCCAUAAAUUAUGUUUGUUAUUAAAUCUUCGCCAUUUUAUUUCAGAGCGGCUUCGUCAAACAUUUGUGCAUACUUGUUCUCAUUACCCAAAAGACAAUCUCAAGGAGUAACUAUAGAACUAUGUUUCUGAUUGAAGACAAUCUCAGUGAAGUCGUAUGCCCUUAACCAUACUUAUGAGUUAUGGACGCAUGUGCCUCAGAAUGUCUUUCUGCAUUGGUCCAUGGAAUAGCUAUCCUUCUUUGCUAGUUAACUGAAUUUGGCAACAUGAGGUCCCGAGGCCCUUUCAUUCUAUCUACUGAAUCUGCCUUAUGUAUUUAAGGGUUUGCUUAAUUGGCUGCACAGACACACUAUUACAAUCAUUUAUGGUAGAUUUCCGCAUGCGACAUGUUUUUUAACUACUGGCAGUAGCAGCAUUCGGUACAAAGUUGUCUUGACGUUUGCAUGGGAGUAAUUGAGGCUUAUCCUGCAGGAGCUCAAACAUUUCCAAAUAAAUGCUAUAGAUUUGUUGAUGUCAGAGACGUUGCACUCGCACAUAUCCUAGCUUUUGAAAAUCAUUCAGCUCAUGGAAGAUAUUGCCUAGUAGGCGACGUCGUACACUGUCAUGAUGCCUUGAAGAUUCUCCGCAAUCUCUACCCCACUUUGCACCUCCCAGAGAAGUAAGUUAUCAUUUUUCCUUAAUUCUUAUCUUCUGUCAGAAUACUGUGCGUCCAAGAGAUUACGGUUGUUUUCGUAAUGGUGUAGAUGCGAAGAUGAGAAGCCUUUCUUGUCGAAGUAUGAGAUAUCAAGAAAGAAGGCAGAAUCUCUGGGUGUCAACUUCACUCCAUUCGAGGUGAGUCUGAGAGAUACCGUCGAAUGCCUCAAGGAAAAGGGAUUCAUCUCUAUCUAGGCACUUGCUUAGAACAGCAUGUCACGAGCUUGCUAAUAAUGACUUGUGGACCUGUGGUCUGUCCUCAGCCUUUCAGCUCCUAAAUCAUACAAUUCUUCUGAAUAAUGUAUCAUUACCCACUUUUAGAGAUAACUCUGCCAGUUUUUCCCAGCUAAUCUUACGUUAUUGAUGUUUAGUUUCUGUGUCCAAUUUGCCUGCCGAAACAACUCAUCAUAUAGAACAUCAGAUAUAAUCUUGAAGACUUUGUAAGCAAUGUCGAAAACUUGUGAGAUAAAUUGAGUUAAUGACUCAAGCUAGCGGUUAAUCCAAGAAGGCUCCUUUCUGGCCAACAUACUUGACUGCCAUUAUGUAUAAAGCCAAUAGAAAAAUGAAGGACUCACUAUGAUUGGAUAUGAAUAUCAAAGACUGAUUCUGCCAGUAACUUAUAUGACCAAAAGAUUGGUGACUCAUGAUACUCUCAAUCAACAGAGCAUUGAACAGUGUUUCUGAGCUUAACAAAACCUUGAUAAUAAUAGCUAGUAGACAAUGCGUACUGGCUGUGAUUGCCAUCCCGAUGCAAGAGAGCUUUACACGACCAAAUUGCAUCUGAACUUGCAGCACCUAAUAUGAGCGUGCACUUUCUGUCGUCAGAUGUAAUAUGUGUUAUCAAACAAUCAAUUCUUCACUUCUGAUGAAAGCAUCUGAACUGCCAUCUCAUUUCAUUUGCAUAUGCAAUGGUCUGACAGGCCUUUGUAUAACUCCCAAUGCAUUAUCCCAUCCAUAGCUUCAACACCUUAUCUUUACCACCAGAAGCAACAUUCUCACCAUCUGGAUUCCAAUCGACUGCAAAAACCUUCUCACGAGAACACCUGCUAAAGUAAGCAAGUGGUAGUCCAUGAUAAAAAUACAAACUUAAAAACUUGUCUGAUGACCAUGUUAAGGGAACAAACCUCAUCCGCAUGACCCGGAAGAUCUUGUUUCAACUUCUUCGUGCGAAUAUCCCAGAUCUAAAAGUAAGCCAAAUAUUGAGCAAACAUUUAAGCAUUCAAAUCAGGCAAAAAUUCAUAAUAAUCAUAACCGGUAAAAAGGGCAGACUCCACAUGCUAUUGAUAUUUACAAAUAGUUCAAACAGAAUUAAAACAAGCAAGAGAACAUCACUCAAGCUUCCAUACGUACUCUGCUUUACAAUAUCCUCAUCACCAUAUCUCACAAAAUAAGCAGACCUAACAUGGUCCAAUGGUUCAAAAAAUAACUUAAAUAGGCCAUUGAGAUCUCAAUGAAAACAAGUUGCACUAGAACUCAGCAACAACCAGGGGGAAAAAUCCUUAUUGCUUGCACCAUAAAUAAACUAAUUUCCUGUAACACAUUGAUAUUUUUUUCACAGAUAAUAUUACAAGCUCUCCUGUUACAAUUCUAAGUGACCACACUUGAUCUCUCUUAAAGCUGGCCCAUGACACAUGUAAGUACUUUAUGGAAAUCAUUCGAACGCUAUAUGCUUUGUGCAACUGACCUUCAGGGUAGUCUUUGCUCCCACUUAAAAGAAGUCUACUAUCUGCAGACCAACUGUGCAUUAUGUAAAUCAUGAUUAGAAAUCAUUCUUGAAUGGAUAAGACGAGCAAAUUUUGAAAAUAUCUCAAACCUUAUCUGAUAUACAGGCCGGACAUGUCCACUGAAUGCAGCAACAAACUUCCCAAUAAUACCAUUCCACAACUUCACAGAUCUAUCAAACGAAGCACUAGCCACCCAUUGCCCAUCCGGUGAAAAGUAGACAUGAUCCACAAGCUGCAAACAAAAAGCAUAAUUUCCCGCAUUUACACCUAACAAGGAUCUAAAGUAUUAGCCUCAAGAAAAUAUUAGGAGGAUGUCUCAUCCAUUGAACCAGUGCCACCAGGACCACAAUGUGGAGUACGUCCUUAUUUAGCAUCAUUAUGGCAAUUGAUAGUAUAUACUGGAGCACAAACAGUCUUCUAAAUACAGUAAAUACUUAGGGAAUCAAUCACACAGCAAAAGCAGGCAGCUGUCAAAUCAAUCUCCCUCCCUCCUCCCUCACACACGCACGCACACACAAACCUGUUGGUGAUCGGUCAUUCGUGUUUUUGGAUGCUUACCAACAGAAGGUUCCCACAAAAACAUAGUAAAAUCAUCAGAUCCAGAGACCAAUUUUUCGGGAACAUUGCCUUUCAUUUUCUUGUAACUUUCUAAUGCAACCUAUGUUCAUCAACAAAAUACAGAAGUUCAUAUGACAGUUACCAGAAAGUAGAACUACAAAUGUGCACAGACCCAAAGGCAGAGAAUCACCACAAGGGGGCAGAACAUGCACAGAGCCAGAAGACGUGCUGACUAAUGCAUACUAGGUUGUAAGAAAAUAAUGUCCAGAGAGAAAUAACCAAUGCAUACUAAGUUGCAUGAGCAAAUCAAUAUGCAGAGAGAAAUAAAUGUUUGAUUUAUUGCCUCAUGAUAUAAAGAUGAUUCCACAUAAUAACAGUUACCUACUUGCUUCAUUUCUUCAGAAGAUGAAUACUGUUUUCCAGUGUGAUCAAAAGCUACAGUUCGAAGAACAUACUCAGUGCUCAGAGCAGGGAGUUAACCCAGUGUCCAAAAUCCUACAACAAAAAUUUUAACAGAAAUAACGAUGAUUGUGAAAAAAAGAAGAGAGGGAUCUAGCAGCAACUUAGAUUAAGAAUGCGGACUUGGCAGUAGAAACUAAGAAAAGACAUAAACACGCAAGCCAUGAAAACAAAACUCUAACCUUAAUAUGCAAUUCACAUCUCAGAGACAUCGAAAAAUGGUGGUAUUUCAUUCUUAACGUCAAUAUCUCCCGAGAACUAUACAAUGAAAACAUUCAAGGACAUGAUGUCGCCAAUAGCUGGGCUAAAUAAUAUGCCCAAUUAGUAGGGGGUAGGUCACUAGGUGCCAAACUGCCUCCUGGCACCAAAGAGAUUGAGUGAAUGCAGCUACUGCAAAGGCGCAAAUAAAUAUAAAGCUAUUGUGGUGAAGAAGAAGACAGGCAUGCAAUGACCCUGCAAUCUGUAUUACAAACUUUAAAAAAGAUGUUACCUUCAAUUCCCUUAUCAGCUUCCCCUGGGAGUUUCUCAGACAUUAAUUGUACAGUCCUGGGAGCUGCAAGAAAUUUAAAAUAAUUACUUCACCAGGUAACAAGUAGUAGAAGCAGCAGCAGUUUGGCAAAGUCCAAGGAUACUCAGUAGCUUGAAAGCAGAAUUUACAAGUCCUCGCCUAAUCUGAGGCCCAUCAGAAGUAUGAUUUAGUAAAAAAAACUUCAUGUUAUUCUUUUGUUGUUCAUGUAGCACGGCACUAGCAUAUGGACAUUAAUACAUCACAAAGUGAUUAAAUAUUUAUCUCAGUGUGGAAUUGCCUCUCUUGUUCCAACUUGUCAGUGGGACAGUUAUUAAGGGUUGGCGGAUCAAGUCCUUCCAUUGAGAAUUUAGUUUGCAGCCUCAGUGAUAUUCAUUUCCGCACAACAUGAAAACUAUCGCUGACAACGUGUACUAGGAUUUGGUAAUUCAUGAUUUUAAGAUUCGAAACAUUUAACCAACACGGGCAUUAAAAGUAGCAGGAGGGCUUACAUUUAGGAAGCACAAAACCGAACCAGCCAAUGAACUUCCAAUAGCCAAAAGCGCCAAGAAGCGGAAGUCAAAGAUCACCUGCUCAGCAAUGGAGGACUACUCUUUGAACAUAGAUGCACUAAUAAAGGCAAUCAAUACGAAAGAACACACCGGUCAUGAAAGCAGAAAUAAAGAGCAACAAGGAAUUAAAAUCAAGCGCAGCUCAUUACAAGUCCAUUGCAAUAGCUUUUGCAGUUGAAAAUACAACCUUCGAUCCAUCAGGACCCUCCAGCAAUUGAGCAUAUACACCCAGUAUGUAAAACAGGCUCUCAAACAUCCAAACCCACCAAACCCAAAUCACCGAACCUCUUUCUAAUUCUCCGUAGCUGAGCAAUAAACAAACUUCCAACAACUCAGGAGCAACAAUUGUUCAAAGGAGGAGGAAACGAUCGAGCGAACGGACAAGCUAAAGAACUGAGUCGGUUCGGCUCACUUUUUAGAUGUUCGAUUCGGCGGCCUGAACGAAACCGACGAGGGGACUGCUGUUGGGACACAGACGCACGAUCAGACACAGAGACGGAGAGAGAGAUAUUUUUCAUUCAUUGUGGCGGGUAACCGUUAAUUUAUCAACGGUGGAGAUCGCAUCAGGAUGCGCACUGGGGCUUUUACUGGCAAAAGUACCAAGUGCAACUGGAGUCUGCAGACAUUUAUACGUGCCUAUCAAAAUUAGUUGCAGCCGGCUUCUCAUCCGAUCGUCAAUGUGAAUUGCACGGAAAUGUAGAGAGAUAUCGAUACUUUUCUGAAUCUAUAUAACUAAAAUUAGUCGGUAUCUAAUGGGACGAAUGUCUGUAAGUCGGUCAUAUUGAGAUUAGUAAUAUUGAACGAAAGUCAUUGACUUCAAAACUUUGGUAAAUCAUAAUCGAACAAAAAUCACUAACAUCAUCAAAAUAUUUGAUAAUCUUGCAAGUAUAAAUUUUUUUUAGUAAAUGACUGAAAUUAAUUAGAAUCUUAACGUGACAUAUGCUGGUGCACCGAUUAGAUUAAAGUCAAUAAUUUCUUAUAUAGGUCAAUGACUUCGGUAACGUUGAUAAGCCAUAUAUAUAUAAAUGUUCGGAGAUUGAUAAUUUAUCCUCCAUAAAUAAAUCUUAGAUACUUGUAAAAACUUCUUCUUAAUUACUAACAUGUGAUUGGGUAAGCAAAAAUGAACUUUUUGUUGAUAUUUGACGUACACACCUAAUAUUUGACAUACACAUCUCUAUUGCUUUGGAUACAGUUCUAUAGACAAAUAAAGAAAAUAUAGUAAUACAGCACAUGGUAGUUCAUUAUUUCUUGGCAUGACCCUGAAAGUGGAUGCUUGACCUGAUCGAGGGUUCGAGUUUUCCAGAAUAAGGAUUGAAACCCAUUUACCUCCGGUCUCAUCGCCUAUUUCUUAGAAGCUUCGCCCUCCUGUUUCCAAUCGGCAACCACCUUCUGGCAAUUCUAUCUAUAAAAUCGAAGUAUGAGUUUGCCCAAGAACCUUUGAUGUGCAAGACCACAAUUGGAACUAAUAUACCGGCAGCAUAUCCAAGGCCGACGCUCAAGUAAAACCACUGAUCAAUGAACUCAUCAUCACCGCGACUGUCCUCGAUUGUCUCUCGUUUGUCAGGUUCAUCGGCUGGACACGUGACAUUGAGGGGAGCACCGCAGAGUCCCGAGUUUCCAUAGUAUGAAGAAGGGAAUGUCAUCAUUUGUUGUGUGUAAGGAAUCUUUCUCGAGAAGUUAUUAUCAGAUAAAUUUAGAUAACUCAAAAAUGACAGCGAUGGCAUGCUUUGAGGGAUUACACCAAAAAGCCUGUUGCUUGAAAGAUCAAGGGAUAACAGUUGGCUCAUGCUCGAAAUGCUCUCAGGAAUUUCACCACCAAUGUCGUUUCUUGAUAAGUUCAGAAUGAGCAAUCCAACCAGUUUAGUCAUUUCUUUUGGAAAUUCUCCACCUAAAUUAUUUCCGGAGAUAUCUACGCUAGUGACAAGGGAAAGAGUCUUGGUGUACAGUUGGCUUUGGCUUUGCAUGGUCACUCGGCAGUUCUCUUGAUAGUAUGUGCCUCCGUAGUUCCUGUAAAAUAGGUACUCGAUUCUAGCUUGCCCUUCUACCAUUGCUUUAAGAUCUCCAAAGCUUGAAGGAAUGUUACCUGUCAAAUUGUUUUCUGCAAGAUCCAGCACUUGCAAUGAGCUUAAACUUGAGAGCUCAUGAGGAAUUUCUCCAGAAAAUGCAUUGGACCUCAAACUUAAAAUUCUUAAAUUGAUGAAACCCUCCGCCAUCCAUGCAGGUAUGGUGCCAUUCAAUUGGUUGUUGCCAAUAUCUAGCGUUUCUAAGCUGGACAGAUUCUUGAAUGAAGAUGGAAGGUCUCCUGAGAGCUUAUUGUUGCUGAGGUACAGAGACUGAAGCCCUUGUAAUUGGCCCAAAGGCGCGGCUAUCAAUCCAGAUAAAGAAUUGUUUUGUAGGUUGAGUACCUCUAGGCUUGAGCAGUUCCCUAUGCUUGGAGGAAUGCUUCCACUCAAAUUGUUGUUUGCUAAGUUGAUGACCUGAAGCCAUUGCAUUUCUCCUAUAGAUUCUGGGAGCCCACCUGUUAUUCUGUUAGAUGAAAGGGAGAGGAAGCCCAAUUCCGGCAUGUAUUUGCUUAAAUUUUGUGGAAUGCCACCUAAAAAUUGGUUGUUAGAGAGGUCUAACAAUCUAAUCUCAGAAAUGGGAAGAGGGAACGGUCCCUGAAAAAAGGUUAGAGCUGAGAUCAACAAGCGCAAGAGGAGCUGCUGGCAACGGAUUAGGUAAUUGGCCCUGCAACAGAUUUAGAGACAUGUUGAGGAGAGAGAGAUUCGAAGAAAUGUCCCAAAACCAACUUGGCACAGGCCCCGAAAUGCUGGCAUUUGAAAAAUCAAGAUAGUUGAUCUCAUUUUCAUGUCUAAGCCAGGCGGGGAAAGAUGGACCGAUCUGGCACGAUCCCAUGCCAAGACUGUGGACUUGGAACGGAGGCAUCCAGUCGGCACUGACAUUUAAAGUGAAAGAGUUGGAUGAGAGAUCUAAGGUCUUCAUUUUGCGUAGAUUUGCAAAAUGUUCUUCAGAUAGUGUACCUGACAAAUGAUUGAAAGACACGUCGAGAACAUCCAACUCAGAAAGUUGUCCCAGAUCAACGGGAAGAGUCCCAUUCAAUUGGUUCCUACCAAGGUCCAGAACGGUGAGGUUCUUCAGAGUCCCAAGAGAAGAAGGACUCGGCCCUUCAAGCAAGUUAUAGUCAAGGGUUAGUUCCUCAAGGUUUUUAAAUUGGCCCAUCCAACUUGGCAGAUAACCCCUCAGCCGAUUGUCGUUCAAUCUCAAGUACCUCAAAUUAGGCAAAGAACUCUGGGAAUAACAAGUUUCAGAUCCCCUCUGCAAAAUUUCCGGCAAACUACUUUUCAAGUUGUUGUUGGAUAAAUCAAAAUUAACUAAACUGCAAAGUGAACCGAUGGAGCUCGGUAUUCCUCCCCUGACCAGAUUCCAAGAAAGGUCAAAAUUACUGAGUGGUUAUUUUCCCAAUGGAAGUGGGAAGUAUUCCGUGUAUUUUAUUAUCAGCCAAAUCCAUAACUUCUAUCCUUUUCCAUGAUCCUUGGAACAACUGAGUACAACUUGCUGAGAAAUUAUCGUUUCCAGAUAAAAUUAGGAUUUGCAAGUGCGGUAGCUCGCCUAGACCAAGAGGGAUCCUUCCAUAUAGACCACUGAAACUCAUGUCAACACUAACAAGGCUGCUUACAUUCAAAAGCCAUUGAGGGAACUCUGAAUCGAAACUGUUGAAGCUGAGGUCUAGAGCAGCGAGUGAAGUGAAGUUCACCAAACCAGGUGAUGAUAUCAAACAAGAUAGGCGACAAUCGGACAGAUGCAACCCCGACAACGACAGAAACCCGUUUAGCACACUGAUCCACGUGGAACUAACCAUUGAGAGGUUCACUCCAUCAAGCGCAAGAUAUUUCAGAGAACCAAGACCAGAAAUCCACCCGAGAUUAUUAGUACUUAACCACUGAAAGGGAGUAGGAAGAUCAAGAUACUGCAAGUUUGACAAAUUUUCUAGAUUUGGAGGAAUUGCACCACGAAACUUGGCAAUUGGCAGGUUCAGGUACCGUAGGUUCUCCAAAGAACCAACAAAUGCAGGAACUGGUACGCCAUCAAAAUUAUUUGAGCUCAAGUCCAAGAAUCUCAGAGACUUGAGUCGCGCUAAUGAAGGUCUAAUUUCUCCACACGGUUUCCAAUAAGUAUACAUACUAGAGUAGCCACGAAGAUCAAUGCUUAUCACCCCUCCAGUCCUCUCAUCGCAGCCUAUUCCACCAGCAACAAUUGCUUCCUUGCCAUGAGGACAGGCGAUUAUAAGGAUCUUGAAGGCCAUUUUUGAAGUCAAUUAGAGCUUCCCUAUCAGACCCUGAGCAAUUCCCAGCAGGGAUAUUGCCGUCACAAGCCGAUAGCCAUGCUAAAAUGGAGAUAGAGACUAGUAUAAUGCAAAGGGAUGAAUCUCUCGCCAUCUUGAUCAAAAUAUGUAAAACUGAAGGUAGCAUUACAAGGACUAGUAACCCGGGACUAGUUUGUUUCAAAUAUUGCUUGAAAAGUCAAGUGGGAUCAGCAGGAUAAUCACGAGAUGUCCAAAGAAAGUUAAAGAGAUGUUGACUGAUUGAGUCUUUGUGAGUAAAAUAUUUAGGCGUGGAGUAUAAAAGGAUUCAAUGACUUGAAAAACUAAGGGUUAAUUCCUUGAAAAACCCCAAACUAGUACACCUAUAAUAAAUUUACUUCAAAUUAAUUUGUUGAUCACAAAAAGUCCUAAACGGGUACACUUAUGACAAAUUUACCUUAAAUGACCACAAAAAAUCCCAAACUAGUAUUUACUCUAAACUAAUUUGUUCAACUGCCAAAAAUCUCAAGCUAAUACAUUUGCGAUAAAUAUACCUUCCCUUAGAUUGAAUCAAUAUUGUAAAAACCAAAAAAAUAAUACAAUUGUAAUAAACAAAAAGUAAAUCCCAAAUUGGUACACUAGUUAACUAACACAUAUCAUCUAACUUAACAAAGAGUAAAUUUAUCAUAAGUAUACCAAUUUGAGGUAAAAUUGCCAAAGUGCACCAAUUUAGGGUUUUAGGUGGACUGACUCAGUCUUUGCAAGUCAAAUAUUUAGGCGUGGAGUAUAAAAAGGUUCAAUGACUUGAAAAAUUAACGGCAUCUAAUGUAUUUAAUUCAUUGUUUUGGGCAUUCAUGAAUUCAUUCACAUGAACUGGUCAUCUCAUUUUCGUAUCAACAUUAGAUCUUAUUUAUGAUAUUAUGCCAUCUCAUGCGUUGAUCUCGUUUCUCAACUAUUGUAUCAAGUCAGCUUUUGGAAUUGCCCUUCUUUUUUACCAACAGCAAAAAGAAUUUCUUGAUGGGCACACUUCCCGCAAGAAAAAAAAAUUCAUCUUGAAUCCAGUUAUCUUCAUUGAUGCCAAACAUGAGUGCAGGACUUGGAGAACUGAAUAGUCGUGGAAAAGAAAAGAAAGGGAUUUAGAGAAUGGUGGGAGUCUGAAAUUGAUUUGCAAUUUUCUCGCCCAUGUAUCUAUAAAUUAUUGAAACAAUUACAACUUUUUGAAAUAAAUCAUAUAAACAUUGACAAUGAAACAAUUAAAACUUUUGAAAUAAACCAUAUAAACAUUGACAAUUGAACUCAAAUAAGUGUUAGUAAUUUUGUGUAAGGUUUUAGUAGCUUGGGACCUUUAUUAAUUGGUAAGUUGCAAAAAUAAGCGUUGAUAAAUCAUUGGAACUGUUGGUAGCUGCGUAACAAUUGAAUAAUCAUUAGUAACCAUGUCAGCUAAAAGUUAAUGAUUUCACAUAAGAAUUAGGUGAUUUUUCAUUGGAGUCGGUAACUUUAACAUGCUGAUAUCCACAAAUAAAUGUUGAUGAAGUCUUAAGAUAGGUGGUGAUUUCAAAUAUCAUUAGAUGAACAUCAAUAGUUCAAUAAAAUAAGCAUUAGUAAAGCCAAAAGCAUAUGGUAACCUCAUCCACGAAAAUGCGUUAAAUCAUUCGCAAUAAUAUCGGUAAUUUGCUAUCAUGUAAUCUUAAUUCAAUGGUAACUCUAAUAAAUAAUAAUUGGUAAAUUCUUAGAACAAUUAAAAAGUUAAUAAACGAGAGUUGGAAAAUAUUUUAACAAAAUUAGUAACUUUAAUACGUUGGUCAGGCAUGUAAAUAACAUGAGUAAUCUACACAAAUAGUUUGUAAUUUAAAACAGUCAAAUUACUGACGGUCCUUUCCCAAAAUUGUUACUAACUUACUAAAAGCCAAAUUACUAUUGUACUUUCAUAUAACAGUGGGUAAUUUAUUAACAUGAUACAGGUUAAAUAAGAUGCCAGUCAGUUUAGUUGCUAAUAGGUUUGACAUUUAACAAAACUUAAAAUGAAUUAGUGGCACCGAAUAAUGUUCUGUAUAUUCAUACACGGAGCGCUGAUAAUCUGAUUGUUGGGUCUUAAUUAUGUAACCCUUCUUGAGCUUGUGGUUUGAGGGUCUUCACAGAUGAGGGCAGAUGUGGAACUGCUUGAAAAUGCGCAUAUAGUUCCAGCGACUAAUGUCCAGAACCAGACACUAUAAAAUAUCAUGGACAGCUUUCUUCAGCAAAAGAUGCUCCAAGUCUGGCCGAGACCAGUUAUCUAGAAUCGACAGAAGCAAUAAGUUAAUUAGCUUUUGUGGUGCAUCUACAUAACAAUCCAACUACCAAGAAAGUCUACCAUUCCGUGAAGCUUCCCCAGAGAGGUCAGAGAAUAGUGCCAUAGCUCAGGCAGGGGGAGAGAGAGAGAGAGAGAUGAACGUGGUGUGUGUCACCAGAGCAUCAGGCUAUAUGGCGUCAUAGUAAGUGAAACUCCUGCUCCAAAGUGGCUACACCAUCAAAGCAACCGUUCGUGACCCGAGUCAGUUCAAGACCCUUGAUUACAUUCAUGCAUGACAUCGUUUAUGGCUUCACCAGUCCAUAUCAUUACAAGAAGUUGUUCUAAUUUACAUGUAACGGGUGAUACAAAGAAGACUGUGCAUCUGCUUGCUCUAGAUGGAGCCAAGGAGAGACUUCAUCUUUGUAAGGCAGACCUACUGGAAGUAGGAUCUUUUGAGUCCAUUGUCGAUGGAUGUGAUGGUGUCUUCCACACUGCAUCACCUGUGCUUCUCACCCCCAAAGACCCCAAGGUUCUUUUGCUCUUUCAAAGGCUUGUGUCAUGGUCUCUCAAAUGUUCUUUUUUCCCUUGUUUCUUUGGAAACACGAGGUAGAAAUUAGCGCUUAAAAAUAGUGUUGCCAAACCAGUGGUUUUUUAAAUUGUAUAUCGUUUUGGCCAUAGCAAUUAAAUGCAGAAGUUGUAAUAGUCUACAUAUACGCAAAGUAGGAGCCAAUUUCAAACUAUUAGCAAGAAUUCAAUGGCAAAAUAGAAAGCUUCAACUCAAGGUUUCUGCGAGGGCAACAAAUCUAACUCUUCAGCACAAUGCAUUCAUCCAUAUUGCGGUUUCUCCAUCUCUAUAUAUGUCCUCGACUUCAAUAAGUUCAGUAGUUCAUACUUGUCUUUCCGUGUCUCAGAUGGAGCUGAUAGAUCCUGCAGGGAGGGGAAUAAUUAAUGUUCUUUCUUCUUGUGCCGAAGUCCCUACAAUCAAGAGAGUGGUGAUAACAUCUUCUAUGGCUUCAGUUGCAUUCAAUGGAAAGACUUUGACUCCUGAUGUGACAUUAGUUGAGACUUGGUUUUCUGAUCCAGUAAUCUGUCAGAUAUCAGAGGUAAUUAUACGUGACAUUCUAAAUUCACCUAAGUCGUCAGAACAUGCCAUUUUUCACCUUUCUUGCAUCAUCAAUUAAAUCUUAGAAAAUGUCAGAAAUGCAGAACGUUUUCCAUUUUUGUUUUUCCUUGGAUGAACUACAUAAAAAAAAAAUUCUACUCAGAUUUGGAUCUGUCGCAAGUUCUUCCUAGUAACUUUAGACCAUCACAGAGGAGCUAGCAUGCAUCAACUACUCAAAUUGAUUUCAUUGUGCACUUCUUGCUUUUCUGUUUCAGCUUUGGUACCCAGUUCGAAAACCUUAGCUGAAGAGCCAGCAUGGAGAUUUGGAAGAGAGAAGGGGAUCGAUUUGUUCACGAUGCAUCCUGGGUUUGUCAUAGGUCCCCUGCUACAAUCUUCGUUUAAUCUCAGCACAGAAAUGUUUCUCAAUCUCAUAAAUGGUAGUCACAAGUAACUGAUAAAUUUAUUAUAUUGUUUAUUCUGAUGAGAUUAGGAUUGUUAUAAGUAAUUCCGUAAAUAGUACUUUUACACGAUUUGUGCUCAGUAAUUUGUCCUCAACUUAACAAGCAAAUGUCAAGAGGAUAUAUAUGUUGAUUCAUUUUAUAAUGGACAAAAGAUACGCAGGAUGGAACUUAUUAAACUGAUACAGACGGUGAUACAUGUGAUGGAAUUUAAUUCAAUGAAAUACACAAAUUUAUUGGAACCAUAUUUAUAACAAGAGGAGACUUACAAGUGAAGUUGUUCCCAUCUGAUGCUGAGAUAUUUGCUGCAGGAACUCACCCUCUUCCUGGCGCAAACUAUAGAUCUGUUGACGUAAGAGACGCUGCACGUGCACACAUUCAUGCCUUUGAGUCCCCUUCCGCUAAAGGCAGGUAUUGUCUUGUUCACAAAGUCGUGCAUUCUGACGAUGCUUUCAAGAUUUUUCAAAAGCCUUCUGUGCCAACCUAUAAAAUAUCAAAUGACAAAGCCAGAAGUCUGGGCAUCCGCUUCACUCCUCUGGAGGUGAGUUUUAAGGACACUGUGGAGAGCUUGAAAGAGAAGGGUUUCUUCAAGGACUGAUGCUGCAACAGGCAACUAAAAGAAUAAAAACCAUGCCAAAGUCGAUUAGAUGGGCAUUUUCUGCUGUAAUACACUUAUGACAGAGUUUUCUUCAGGAGAUCCGAAGUUUUCUAAUUGCUCACAGAAUAUGUACAAUGCCACCUGAAGCUUACUGAAGCAGCCAUUUUCAUUGUCAGACAAAUGUUUGGCUGUUAUCUGUAUUGAGUAACUUGAAAUCCAGGAGUUCACGUUUGCAUGGUAGUGAAACUCCAGCCUCCUGUGUCAAAGGGAAAAAAAAGACAAAAUGGCAAUAAAGCCGAUGAGUUUAACAGCCAAAAUUCUACGUGUAGUAAAGGUGCAAGUGAUGCAGUCAAUUGCAUUAAACAGGAAAUGUACUGGCCUGCUUUCCCAGGGCAAAAUGCCAAUCCAAUUGAGCAACUGGCACCACAGCAUUCACCUUACCCCCUCAUUCAAGAACACAGCGGAGCAGGGAGAUCUUCUCAUGUCUCCAUAGGCUCAUAGCCCCUCAAUUGACAACAUUACAGCGAUGCGAAAUGAAAUGGCUAAGAGUGCGGUGGCGGUAAACAAGGCAAGUUUCACGCACAUAUCUGUAAGUCAAAGAAAAACAGAAGCAUGUUUCCCUGGAUCAAAGGAAGAGAUGCUUAACUUCUUAAAUUUCCAUCACCUCUCUCGGUGAGGAAAUUGCUACGGUAUAAGUGCUCGACUUCCACAAGCUAUCCCAUUUCACCGGUUGUCUUUCCCAAAUCCAAUAGCAGAUUAUAUUUAGAUUUUCAAGUCGGCAAUCAUCGAUAAAAUUAUAGUUCCACCAUCCACAAACCCGUUAAAAGAUUACCGUGUAACUUAAAAUUUUAGAAGAGGAGUUUAACUAUCUGCAAAUUACCAAUGAAAAAAAAUAUUAUCACCCAAAAACUCCAUAGUAGAUUUACCGCUUGGAAAAAGCAAUCUGUGCGGUGUCGUUGGAGUCGCAUCGGAAGCAAUAUACUUAGUCCGCCUAUACGAGACAACCAGGGAAAGAGAAAGAAGAACACACGUGUAGUACCAGGAUGACGUGGCAUAUAUAUAUAUAUAUAUAUAUAUAUAUAUAUAUCUAUGAAGCCCAACCACAACUUGACACGUGUUCAUGACCUGGACAAACAUAGAAAAAGUAAAAAUCUAGCUGGAAUUUUUCGGUCUCUUCUCCCGUCUCCUCCAUCCGCAGUCGCCGGUGUACUCGCUGGUGCUGCUUCCAGGCCGACCACUGCGGUGCAUCCAUGGCCGAGCCACCCCUCCUUCGUUGGCGGCGGCUUACAAUCGUUGCCGUCCACGGGCGAGCCAUCCACUUCGUUGCAGCUCGUCCAUUCGGUCAACGGUGGACCUGUUAAUUUGAAGGCUCACUUCUGUGGAUCUGGGGAGUCGCCCGAUCUGUUAUUUUAGAGUUUGGGAGCCCCCAGAUCUGGCGGUGGACGAAGAAGAAGAUGAUCUUGCGGUGGCUUGGCCAUGGACCAUGGCUACUGAUCUGGCGACGGACGGGUAUGGCCGCGAGCAAUGAUGAAGGGGUGGCUCGGCUCAUGGACCUCCGCACAAAUGAGCCUGACUGCAACCACCGUCGAUGGAGGAGGAAGAAGAGAGAAAAGGGGAGGCCCACGUCAUGGACAUGUGUCGAUGCGCGAUUGGAUUUUAGCACACAUUGCUUGGCACCACAUCAGCCCAUGACGCCAUGACGUGGUGUUAUGCGACCAUUCAACACUUGCUCGAGACUUUCCUUGAGUAAUGCAUGACAGACGAUCUAUAUGUCUAAUUAGAAAACUGAUCACUCACGAUCAAGAAGAGUAGGUGGUCAUUUGUCCCAUUCAAUUUUUUCUAGGAACAUAUUUAAAACAAAGAGUGAACGUAAGUCCCUCGCACAAGCCGGUCAAAUAAAUGAUCAUGACAAAGUGUCGAGGUUGAAUAUAUCCCGAAUUCAUAAAAGAGAAUUCCCACUUAUAAAUGUAUUGCAAUCAGUAUCCCUCUCAUCCCCUGUUCCAAGGAGAAGAGAGGAGCGGAGAUGAGUACAGCAGAGAAGGUGGUGUGUGUAACUGGAGCGGCCGGUUACAUAGCCUCCUGGCUUGUCAAAGUGUUGCUUCAGCGUGGCUACACGGUCAAAGCAACUGUACGCAAUCCCAGUAAGUUUUUUAUCUUUGCUCAUGCUCCGUUGUUCACAAUAUUGGAUUUCUGAAUCUUUGGUUUGUCCAAUUUAGCAGUUGAACGGUUUACUCUUACUUAGUUGGAAACUUGAAAUGUUCUAGAUAAUAUGGAAGUGGUACCAAAAUCUGUUACUCAGUUAUGAUGAGAAAACUAUUCUCUUGUAAUAUCUCUUACCUUUGCAAUUAACUCAUACAUGCAUGUGUGUACUUGUUUGUAAGGGUUUGUGUGCAUGCCUAUACAUAUACGUUAUGCUCAGGGUACGUAUGAUACAAUAGCAUCCGAGUCCACUAGCUGAAGGUAUGAAGCUCUUGUAAUAUCUGAUUCCAUUGGCUUAACUAUUCAAGUUUGCACACAAUCUUAUGCUACCUCUAUAGUUAGAUCCAAUGCAUAGCGUACAUUAGAAAUUUAUAUUUGUGGUCUUCUUAUCUAUUGAUAACAUUUCGUGUUAAGUGACCAAAAGCUCCCAGAGUUUCAUUCCAUCAAAUCAAAUUCUCCUUUUUUGAAUGCAUAAGCAGGUGAUCCAAAGAAGACACAGCACCUUCUGGAACUUGGAGGGGCUAAGGAGAGACUACAUAUCUUCAAAGGAGAAUUGCAGGAGGAAGGGUCUUUUGACUCAAUAGUUGAUGGGUGCGAGGCUGUCUUUCAUACAGCAUCACCGGUUUUUUUCUCAGCUUCCAACCCUGAGGUAUCUGCAUAUUGCAGUUGUACAUCAUGAUUUCAUGGAUUUGUUAAAUGUAAAGCAUCACAUCUUUCAAAUUCUAGUUCUUUUUCCCUUGUCGUCUGGUGCAGUUUAUCAGACGGCAAAUGAUCUAACAUUUCUUGGAUGAUUCGACAAAACCAUUCUAAUCAGAUUCCUUUCCUUACAUGCCGCAGGCUGAAAUAGUCAAUCCUGCAGUUGAAGGUACCCUAAAUGUUCUCAGAUCAUGUGCAAAGGUCCCUUCUAUCAAGAGAGUGGUUUUGACAUCCUCCAUGGCUGCGGUUGUGUGCAAUGGGAAGCCUUUGACCUCUGAUGUGGUAGUUGAUGAGACAUGGUUCUCCGAUCCAGCAUUCUGUAAGGAAUCAAAGGUCUGUAAGUAAGCUGGCUUUUGACAGUAGAAUCUCUUUUGCUUGGUCUGUGAUGCCCCAUCAACUGGAUGAAUUUUUCCAAUAAAAAAUCGUCAAUAGAUUUGAUUUUGGCUAGUAUUCAAGCUUGAUUCGUGUUAAUUUAAUUGAAUACUUGAGGCUGAACAUAGCUUAAUCUUAGUGGCCAAGCAGUCAAGAGGUAUCAUCUUCCUUGCCUUAAUGGUUUUUCCAUCCACCUAUCUGUUUAAGCCCUCAACCUUCAAGCAUGUUCGUUUGUUUGCCCAUAUUUGGCCAAUGUAAGAUACACAAGUUGGGUGCUUUGCCUCACUGAAUACCUCUAUAUGACAAUUAGAUUUUUGUGAUGGACAACUUUUAAAGAAUUUCUUUUCUAGUGCUCCUCAUCCAUUGCUUUGAAAUGUCAAACAAGGCAGAGCAAAUUCAGUGUCAUGUCGAUGAUGAUCACAUCCAUCAGUGGUGCGAGCUCUUUCACUCUUUCAUCGCCUGACUUCGGUUUAAUUAUUUUCAGCUUUGGUAUGUGCUAUCUAAAACCUUAGCAGAGAAGGCAGCUUGGGAUUUUGCAAGAGAGAAUAGGAUGGACCUGGUCGUGAUAAACCCUGGACAUGUGAUUGGCCCUCUCUUGCAGUCUACCAUCAAUCUCUCUAUGGAGAUGAUACUGAACCUCGUCAAUGGUAUUACUUAAAAGUCAAUGCUUGACAUGUCUAUUAUCAUUGUGUCAGCAUUUUGGAUCUCAUUUUUUGUCUGAUAUUGACCAUUGAUAUUUUGCAAAUGACUAAGGACCUGUCGCCAAAUUUCUCCGCAAGAUAGAGAUGCAACUGCACAUGGAAACUUAUUUUCCUGCCAAAGUGCACUCUGCUCCUGUGAUUACAGAGAGAAUGAUUUGAGGCUUAUACAAUGCAGGAGCUCAAACAUUUCCCAACAUCUCUUACAAAUUUGUUGAUGUCAGAGAUGUGGCCCAUGCACAUAUUCUAGCUCUUGAAAAUCCUUCAGCUAGCGGCAGAUAUUGUAUGGCAGGAGAGGCAAUACAUUGUCAAGGCGUUUUGAAGAUCCUGCACGACUUUUAUCCUACACUGCACCUCCCUGAAAAGUAAGCCCCCAUAUUUCUUCAAUUUCUAAAGAGAAGAGUUACAUUUUAUGAGCAUCCCUAGAAGGAAUCCUAUCUACUGAACAUUGACAUUAUUAAAGGUGCAUGAAUCAUUGUUGAUGCAGAUGUGAAAAUGACAAACCAUACGAGUCGGCUCCUCGGGUGUCAAUCAAGGGAGCAGAUUGAAGGUCUGGGUGUGAAGUUCAUUCCUUCGGAGGUCAGUCUAAGAGACACUGUGGAAAGCCUCAAGGAGAAAGGCUUCCUCUCUGUUUGAGUUUCCUGACAAGUGACAAGGAAAACCCUAUACUCCAAAGGCAUAUAUAUGGUUUCCACGAACUUAUAGUCAUAAAAAGUUUCUGCAUAAAUUUAACGCUUCCCUUUUAUUAGACUCCAUUGAAGCAUGCAUAAUGUCUUAGAGUCACUUGCUCAGUGUAAAUUUAAACUUGAAAGCUGAUUAUGAACGUUGUUUAUUGGAGUAGUUUUCUGCUUUUGCCACUGAUUUCUAUUCCUGGCUUCAUGUGCGACUACUUUUAACAACCUGAGGUUUUGUAUGUAAGUUGAGGUGAAGCAAUGCCCAGUGUUUGUUCUGGGGCAGAAAGGCAACCUCUAACAUGGAUAAUGAGGAAUCCUGAGAACCAUUCAUAGUUAGACAAAAAUCCAAAAGAAUGGCUGGGAAAAUAAAUUAUUGAUUAUUCCCAUAUUCUUUUGGAGAUUCUCAUUAAUCAACUCCUACAACGGAUCAAAUGAUGAAUGACUAAUAAUAGGGCCACUAAUCUCUAUACUAAUUUCUGGCCGCUGCUCCACCAUAAUCGAUCACAGUAAAGCUGCACUUUAGUUUCUGGCGUGGUGCACAAUGAUCAAAUUUAAUUUUAUUGAAGGCCCUGACACCAGGAUUCGGGUAAUUUGCUUUAAUAUCAAAAUUUUAAUAUAAAGGGCAUCCCAGUGCACAAGGCUAUACUGAUUUGCAACUCAUCGUCUCUUUCCAUCUUUCUGAAGUUACCAUACUUACUUUCCCAUUUCUUGAAUUGAAAUGAACAAAACUUUCCAUAUAGAACUUUACGCAACACAUACGUACUGAUCCUCACUCUCACCAAACGCAAACAGAAGACCAGUGCGAACCAGAUCAAAUCUGUUGGCUUUUAAUUGGGUAAAGUUGAUCAUUGCCAUUCAAGAUGAAACAGCUCCUAUGAUUGUGAAUUAAAUAUCAACUUGAUGCAGGACUUAGCUUUCUUUUCUUUUCUUUUCUUUUUCUUUUUUUUUGUGCCCCUGAAAAGCAAUCUUAUAUAGCUCAUCUUUUCCUUUGGUAAAAGAAGAAAACAUCUUCAUGAAAUUGACUUGCAUUGAGCCAUGCAACGCUUGACAUAUGAAUAAGAGUUGGGGAUUCAUCAAAGUUUCCUCAUCUAGCUUUUGUGGAAAAAUAAAAGAAUUUGUCAAUGCCUCAUACAAGAUUGUUAGACUAACAAAUUUGAAACACUUGCAGAACUAAAGAUUUUCUAAACUUAGUAAAGAGAAUCUUUUUUGCCUUUAAUAUGAAUUGCUCUCCGCAUACUCUCUUCCAAGCCCCUGUUCAAGAUUCAAUGCCAAAAAGAGGAGUAGAGGAUGGAUGAGUACCACAACAAAGGUCGGAUGCAUAACUGAAGUGUCCGGUUACAUAGCAUCCUGGCUUGUCAAGUUGUUGCUCCACCUUGACUAUAUGGUGAAAGCAACUGUUUGCAAUCCCAAUAAGUUUAUGCAACUUUAUGUUCAUGCUCUAAUCUUCAGAAUCUUGAACCUUUUGAAUAUUCAGUCUGUUCAUUUUAGUAUUAGUAUGGUUUGCAAUUUCUUAGUUGAAACAUUUUAGACGAUACAAAAUGUGUAACAAAAUCUUCAUAACAUGAAUCUGUUCUUUCCUAAUCAUCUCUUACCUUUUGGAUAAACUCAGACAUGUAAUAUCCAAGUGUUAUUUGUGGGCAGUUGUGUGCACGCGUAUGCAUAUGCCUGCUUGCCUUUGGGGUUUCAGGUUGCCUAUUACAUUAAGUCGUCCAGAUUUAAUUGCCUGAAAAUUAGAUCUCUUGCAGUACGAUCAUAUGUGACCACUUGAGCAAAUCAAAUACAGAGCCAACAUCAUAACUUGAUAAUUGCAGUCUAGUGACUGAGAGUUACAGCAAUUUGGAUCAGCCAAAUUAAAUCUUGUUCUUGCAUGUGCAAUUAAACUUAUGAUUCAAAGAAGACAUGAUUUCUUCUAGCCCUCAAAGGGGCUAAGGAGAGAGUACAUUUAUUUAAAGCAGAAUUGCUGGAAGAAGUGUAAUUCGACUUGAUAGUUGAUGGGUGCGAAGCUGUUUUAUAUACAGCAUCACCGGUGAUUUUCUCAGUGGCUGACCCCCGGGCGUCUGUAUCUUGCUGUUAUCCGUCAUUUCUCUACAUCUUCAGUAUUGUAUCUGCAAAAUUCUAGUUCGUUUCAACUUGUCCUUUGUAUGUGCAGUUAAUCAAAUGGCAAAUGAUAUAAUAUUUCUAAGGUAAUUCAACAUAAAUUUAUCUGAUGGGCUUCUAAUCUUAUUACCGACUGAAAUAGUAGAUACUGCAGCCAGGGGGACCCUAAAUGUUCUCAAAUCAUGUGCAAAAGUCCCUUCAAUCAAGAGAGUGGUUGUGACAUUCUCCAUGGCCUCGCUUGUCUGCAGUAGAAAAUUCCUGACCUCUUUGGUAAUUGAUGAGACAGGGUCUCCGAUCCGGUUUUAUGUGAGGAACCGAAGGCCAGUAAGUAGACUGUUCUUUUCGACAUUGUUGGUCUCUUUUGCUUGGUCUGUCAUACCCUACACGAUCUUCAACACUUUUUUUUUCCUAGUUGGAAAAUUGCCAACAUAUUGAUUUUUACAUGAUUUGGAACACGAGCUGAUGCUAUAAAAUAUCGACGCCAAACAUAUUCACUCGAUGGCUUGAAUUGAAUCACUGUAGUGCCGAGCGGUCGAGAAAUGCUUCUCCCUUGCCUUAAGGGUGUGUUGUUUACCUAUUUGAUUAAAUCCUCAACCUUCUUGCAUAUGAACGUGCUCCCAUGUAUUAUUCUGAUAUAGGCACAUAACUAAAAAGGUUCUCAUUAUUUAAGACCUCUGUACGACCCUAAAAUUUUAGUUACCCAUAUCUCUUUAAGUGGUAGUUCUAGAAUCCCAGAUGAGGCAGCAUCGUCAAGUUGACGUCGGUUAUUUUUGUGAUAAGCGCAUGAGUUCUUUCCUUGCAUUAAUAUGGUCUUUCUAUUUUCAGCUUUGGUAUGUGCUUUCUAAAACCUUAGCAGAGGUGCCGGCUUGAAAUUGCUAAAGAGCACAAAGAUUGACCCGUCAUGAUAAAGUCAGGACACGUGAUUUGUCCUCGAUUAGAACUGGAUAACUUCAUGCCAUACGUGACUGUGACAUUAUAGGCAUAUAUGCACUACUAAGAUUUAUCCUCUACAACAACCUACAAGUGAUUGGCAUUCACAGUUUUGUUUUCUGCUUAUAGGUUUACAUUUUUAAGUCAGUUAUCUUGGUAGUGCUCUCACUUGAGCACUCUUAAUAAUGUGAGUUUCAAUGCUAAACGUUCUCAUUUGGGUAAAGUUACCAAUAAUUCUAUUUACAGUUCUGUUCGUUCCUGCCCGUGCGAGACCCCGGUAAACUUGACUGCCGCUCCUUAUCCUGGCCUCCUUUGAUCAGACCUGAUCUUUACAGGGUCACCAUCUUUAUAGAAGGCACGGCCACCAGGAUAAGGGUACGCUGCUUAUCUCUCACCCAUCGCUCACAGAAGAUCAGUGCGAAUUGCAAAAUUUAGCUGCUAAUUAGAGAAGAAGAAGAAGAAGAUGAGCACGAGAGAGGAGAAGCAGAAAGUGGUGUGUGUGACUGGAGGGGCAGGUUACAUAGCUUCUUGGGUGGUCAAGCUCUUGCUUCAGCGUGGCUACACUGUUAAAGCCACCAUGCGAGACCCAAGUAAGCUUGCCAUCUCUAUUCUCUCGAUAUCUUCUCUAUCAGUGUUUUCGUGCUCCUGCGCCCUUCAAAUUACGGAUAAAACCAUGCGGUGGAAACGGCUAGAAUCGUCCUCGAUGAAAUAAAUGUUAUCGGGACCCAUUAUUUUUUUUCAGUUAUAUUUCUUUUCUUGGUAAUUCUAUUUAAUGUUUUCUACGAGAUACUAGGCCAUGUUUCAUCCAUUGGGACACCAUGUAGAUUUCACUAAGUAUGCGGGGCGCCUUAUUGAAAUUUUAGAGUCUAAAGCUCUUGAUUUCUUCAUUCUCAUUUCGGCACUACGAAAACACAAUCUAGCAGCUAAAAUCUACCAUUAGAUCUCCACGAAUCAACUAAAUGAUGCAAGUAAAGUCAUUAAUUACCUCUUGAGCCAGAGCAAGUUCAUCCAAGAAUGAUGUAACUUAUCUUUUUCUGCCCAUUUGGCCAUAGAUGAAGCGAUUUUAAUAGUAUGUCAAUGAGGGUGACCACUAGAAUUCUGGAUUCCAACCCCUUAAAUGAGUAAUUUUCAUUCUUGUUUGUGUGUUACAGAUGACCCAAAGAAGACAGAACACCUUCUGGCACUUGAAGGGGCUAAGGAGAGACUGCAAUUAUUUAAAGCGGACUUGCUGGAAGAAGGGUCCUUUGACUCAGUAGUCAAUGGGUGCAUAGGCGUUUUUCAUACUGCAUCACCUGUCUUGCUCUCAGUUGCUGACCCCCAGGUACUUGUAUCUUGUCGGUUCAGUCAUCCUUCGUGCCUUAUACUCGUCUCUGUUGCAAUGUUGUCCUUGGCUUUUACAUAACCUGCUUACAUUUCACUCCAUUCCAUUAUCCAUGUAUAGGGGACUUCUCUAAUGAUCUUGCUUGUGCUCCAGCAAUCAGUUUCUAGUGAUCCGACACAAGGAGUUUCAAUUUUUUCUGAUAGUUCCGAUAGGUUCUGUUCUGAAUGAUUUUGUUUUCUCUUGCUUAAUUUAGGCUGAAUUAAUUGAUCCUGCCCUAAAAGGCACCCUUAAUGUUUUGCGGUCAUGUGCCAAAGUCUCUUCUAUCAAGAGAGUGGUGGUGACAUCUUCUAUUGCUACAGUCUCAUAUAUUGCAAAGCCUCUGAUGUCUGGUGAUCUAGUUGAUGAGACUUGGUUUUCAGAUCCAGACUUUUGUGAGAAAUCUAAGGUUGGUUGUCUGUAAUUUCUUCACAAUACUGGUAAUCUUGGAAUUCCUUUGAUUAUGUUUUGAUUAUGUUGAACCCAGUCCAUGUCGUGUCAAAGGUAACUGAGCUGAGGCAAAAGAUACUUAACAUUAUAAGUUUGGUUUUUCCUUGUUCAGCUUUGGUAUGUUCUCUCAAAAAUCUUGGCAGAGAAGGCGGCCUGGGAAUCGGCAAAGGAGAAUGAGAUUGACUUGGUCACGAUUAACCCAGGAAUUGUCAUUGGCCCUUUGCUGCAGCCCACUGUUAAUCUCAGUGUGGAGAUGAUACUGAACUUUGUUAAUGGUAUGGAUGUAUGACUAUUUUGCUAUUCCGCGUGGACUUACUCCUUUUUGGUUCUUGAAAAGUUAGUCUGAUGAUCCUAUGUUCAAAUUCUUAUGACUCUGGCAAAUAGUCUGAUCCAUGAUAGGUACGUCUGGUUUGCAAUUAAAGUAGGAGGGCAGUUGCGCUUUACAUAUUACACAAUACACAUGGUGCAUGUGUCUUCUUACAUAUAAACUAAUGGCAUUCAUUGAUGAGACCUUUUCCCACGCAUUUUGAUUGUAAGUUUCCAAGUCUGGAACAGAGAAAUGAAAAUUCUGAUAAGUAUCCGCUAUAAAUUGUAUGUCGAUGUCGAAAAUAACUUAACGCUUAUCGUGCAGGAGCUCAAACAUUUCCAAAUGAAUGUUAUUGUUUUGCCGAUGUCAGAGAUGUAGCGAAUGCACAUGUUCUAGCUUUUGAAAAUCCCUCAGCUUGCGGAAGAUACUGUGUAGUAGGAGAAGUCAUGCAUUGUCAUGACGCCUUGAAAAUUUUGCAGAAUCUGUACCCAACAUUGCACCUUCCUGAUAAGUAAGUUCUUUUUUCUGUAAUUACUCUUCCUUAUUUCCAACUCGUCUGCUGCUUGACUGUGGGCCAUUCAAAACAGCCUGUGAAGGAUUAGCACGCUUUUUUCCUCUGAGAAAAUACAUGAUGGGCCUUGUUGGUUGGAACGAAGUAGAGGGACUGCACUGAUUACGAUGAAAUUGGAGAUUUAAUAGCAAUAAACUUACUGAGGUCAUUGAAUAUCAGUUCAGGACUGACAAGAAAAAUUUGCAGCUUCAGGACAUUCCAUACAAGGUAAUUAAAUGUAACAUGGACUACAUAGUGAUUCAAAGCAUCGGAAGGAAUCUUCGUGUUCGUUUAUUAGUCUGUUCAAUAGAAAAAUGUGCGACAAGGUCAAACUUGGAGUAUCACCAGUUUAACUAAGUGAACAUUCAACGCCCAUUUAUAUCACAAGACCUUGAUCGUAACAUUCUUGAUCAGUUACUACCAAUUUCAAAAGUGGGUGUAAAUGCCAUCUUGUUUGUUUAGUAACAAAAGCCCGUCUGAGACAGCCACUGGAUUCCAUGUGACUGAUCUUCUCAAGAUGUCUAGGAGAAUCACACUUUGUUUGUCCAAUGAUGCAGAUGCGAAGAUGACAAACCUUUCGCACCGAAGUAUGAAUACUCAAGAGAGAAGGCGGAAGCUCUGGGUGUCGAAUUCACUCCUUUAGAGAUCAGUCUAAGAGACACCAUUGAAUCUUUACGGGAGAAGGGGUUCAUCUCGGUCUAGGCACCUGCUUAAAAACAGCACGACACUAGCUGAUAAUUCGGGGUUCCUUGCUUUACGAAACAAGUUUUACCGGUUGAAGUUUCUUCACGCGAUUUGUAGUCCGAUAUGACUUACAACUAGAAGUGUACAUUAUCUGCAGAAAUCUCUAAAGACCUGCAUCUUCUUGGGGUAAUAUUGCGAAUGAACAAGUUGAGCUAGCAUUUUAUUGGACGCCCUCAUCUCCGGUGUACUCCAUUAGACGCUACGUGGAAGAAAAAGAUGAUACAUACCAUUUAAAACCAGAUCAGAUACUCAGAAACCAAGGAUUUACAAAGGAAAUGAAGUAUUUCUUUUCCACGAGAAAGACAUAUGGGAAGACGAGAGAAAAUUGAAGAGAGGAAUCCAUUGGCCAAGGACAAAGGGAGAUUCCGCACCACUCGCUCCACGUUUGCCUCGUCCUUGUUAUGAAUCUUGCCGAGAAACGCGCAUGGCAACGCUGAAAGUAGUAUUCCUUUUGCUUGCCUUCCUUUUGAAAACAUUGUGUUGUUUCCUUAUUUAGUACAUAACCUUUUAUGUGUUUCAUUAGUGUUAUAAAACUUGUUGCGCAGAAUUCUAAUAUUUCGUUGCCAAAUAAAAAACAACUUUCCAUGCAUGGUGAUCUUAUGAUAUGAUUAGUGAUCUUUAUAUCUUAUUGUAAAGUAGUGUAACCGACUGUUUGUUGGUCAAAUGCACUAACGGUGAUUUACCAAAAUGUUGACAAUUUACCAAUAAUAAAUACAAUAAUACAUUAUCAACCUUCUCUUUUUUUUCACUAGGUUAUCACUCUAAACAAAAAAUUCAAAUGCGAAAUUAGUGACUUCCUACUGAAAUUGCAAGGUAGUAAGUUCCUAGCAGAGUGAAGAAUUUAUUGACUUCAAAUGAAAUGCAAGUUAUCAUUAUUUUGACGAGCUCGCCGGGCCUCGCCAAUAGGUCAAUAACUAUUGGGUCACAAAUGUAAAACUUAGCCCGCUUUUACCAUAGCAAGUUAUCAUCUUAGAAAUUUUCCGCUUAGUAGAUGGAUCCGCUUGUAAAAUUUGAAAGUAUUUGAUAAUUCAUUAGUUGAUACGAGUCAUGACAUCAUUAUUGAAACGAAUAAUAGUUUAUUACAUGGGGCUAAAUUGAAACAAAUCUUUUCUGUAGGCAUGGCAUCCGAAGACAUUUCCUUGAAACGUAGCUGUCUUAGACAAGUUGCCUUUGAGUCAGGCAUGACACAAGUGAUCGGAUAUUUCUAUCGGCGCCCAACCCCUGUGGUCUAGAAUAGGUGAUCGUUCAAAGUUUCUCCAUCUAUCUUCUCUGAUUGAAGGAUUUAAGUUGGCGAGACAUGUGAAGGUUGAAAAUUAUUCAAGUUGAACAUUAUCUGAAAGCAAUCAUAGAUGAUUUUUUUCCUUAUAUAUACCAGUAGAAGAUUCAGCUCCAAGGAUAGGAGAGGAGAGGGAAAAUGAGCACGACAGAGAAGGUGGUUUGUGUAACCGGAGGGGCUGGUUACAUAGCAUCAUGGCUCAUCAACUUGCUGCUUCACAGGGGCUAUACAGUCAAAGCGACCAUCCGCAACACCAGUAAGUUCAUCGUUUCAUCUUCGUGUCUUGUUCUUAAUUUUUUUUUUUUUUUUUUUUGGAUUCUUGGGUGGUGCACUCUAUUCUUAGAGAAUGAUUCACAGUUUCUUAGUCGAAUCAUUCGGAUGCAUGGACUUUGUACCAAAUUCCGUUUUUAUCAGAAAGUGUGCUUUUCUAAUCGUCUCUUCCCAUUUCGAUUCACUCGCAUAUGCGUGUAUUUAUUUGGAAGUGCAUAAGUGCAUGUGUACGCAUAUACUGAUUUGUCUAUGUGCUUUUGGAGCUAUGGCAAUAUAACAUGUUCGAGUUCGCUGCCUAAAGAAUUAAUCCCUUGCAAUAUUCGAAUCCAUUAUGUCUUAAUCCUGGUUUUUUAUAGAUGUGGAUAUGUUGCAACUCAGGUCAAGAUCAAGUACUAGCAUGUUUCAUGAUUCAUAACUUGAUGUCAUUCUAUAUGAAGGAACUUAGAUUGUGAUCUAUCAGAUCUAAUUCUGCAUUCUGGCAUGUGUAUAUAAGCAGAUGAUUCACAGAAGACACAACAUCUUCUGGCACUUGGAGGGGCCAAGGAGAGGCUCCAUUUGUUUAAAGCAGAUUUGCUAGAAGAAGGGUCCUUUGACUCGAUACUCGAUGGGUGCGGAGCUGUUUUUCAUACAGCAUCACCUGUGGUUUUCUCGGCUUCGGAUCCCCAGGUGUCUGCACAUAUCAGUUCCUUCCGCUUUGUACUGUAGAUUCAUACGAUAGAUGAUCUGAUAUUACUUGGGUGAUUUGGCAAAAUCGUACUGAUGACCUCCUUCAUGUUGCAGGCUGAAAUAGUGGAUCCAGCUGUCAGAGGCACCUCAAACGUUCUCAAAUCAUGUGCAAAAGUCCCUUCUAUCAACCGAGUGGUAGUGACCUCCUCCAUGGCUGCAGUAGUGUUCAAUGGAAAACCUCUGACCUCUGGUGUGGUGGUUGAUGAAACAUGGUUCUCUGAUCCGGUUUUCUGCGAGGAAUCAAAGGUAGUAAGAUGCUUUUCUUGAUAUUGUUGGUCUCUUUUGCUUGGUCCGCUGUCUGUGAGUUCGUUCAUCGCAUUGUUGUGUCUGCUAUUUUCAGCUUUGGUAUGUGCUCUCCAAAACCUUGGCGGAGAAGGCUGCUUGGGAAUUUGCUAAAGAGAAGAGGAUCGACCUGGUCGUGAUGAACCCAGGACAUGUGAUUGGAACCUUUUGCAGCCUACAGUCAAUCUCUCGGUGGAAUUGAUAUUGAACUUUGUCAACGGUAUUACUUGAUGGUUUCUAUGUCACACGUACUAUUUUUCAUGAGAUGAUUCAUUCUUUUACACAUCAUGUCAGCAUUUGGCAUCUCUUUUAAAUUCUGAGAUUGACCAUGGGAGGGUUGAUUCAGUGUCAUAAUUGCAUAAUUACAUGCAGUCGAUUUCCAUGUGCAAGAAAAAACACGGUUGCUCAAGGAAAUUGAUUUUUGAUUAAAAAUGGCGUUAGCAGUGGGAAUAAUCGAUACAUGUAUGAUGUAGGAACUGAAGAAUUUCCCAAUGCAUCCUACGGAUUUGUUGAUGUCCAAGACGUCGCACUAGCACAUAUUCAAGCUCUCGAAAACCCUUCAGCCAGCGGCAGAUAUUGCGUAGUUGGAGGAGUAAUGCACUAUCCGGACAUGUCGAAGAUCUUGCACCAUCUCUAUCCCACAUUGCGCCUCCCAGAAAAGUAAGUUCCCGUUUUUGUUCAACUCCAUAGAUUAAAAGGUAACUUUUUUUCUCUUAAGAGCAAGUCGAGAAAUGGUCUUAUGGCGAGCAUAUACACUAACGUUAACCGAUGCUGCACGAAUCAUGCAUUUUGAACACAGAUGUGAAGACAACAAGCCUGCUGUGGCGGCUCAUCGGAUAUCAAGGGAAAAAGUAGAAGGUUUGGGUGUGAAUUUCAUACCUCUGGAGGUUAGCAUAAAAGAUACUGUUGAAAGCCUCAAGUAGAAAACUUUCCUCUCUUUUUGAGCUUUUUCUUCGGAGGUCGGCCUAAGUGACAUCAUUGGAGCCUCAAGGGCGAAGGCGGAAUCUCUCUAUUUGAGCUAGCUUUUCUCGAUCGACAACGCUGACCUCAUAGUCAUACUUAAAAGGUUGUUGAUAACGUAUUGUAUAUUUCAUAUAGUUAUCGUGGUCGGACCAUGUAUGGUCUCUUACUCUUGUUGAAUAGAGCAUUCCAUCUCUAAACUUGAAAGACGAUGCAAUGCUGAAUGUCUAUCCUAUAGUUAUUGUAUGCGAAUUUGCUUUAAUAUUCAAUAACAAUAUUAGGAUAAUCGAGUGUGAUAAUAUUGAAAAUAAUUUAUUGAAAAAAUCAAGAGAAUUGAAGGGCUCAAUAUAUUCAAGAAAAAGUCCAACCAAAAAAAAAACAUAAAUUAAGGGAUCAAAUAUGGUUUAUCCCAAAUCAAGAAUUAGAUAAGUACAACUACUCAGGGUGCGUUUGGCUGGCACCUAUUUCUGUUCCCAGGAACAGAAAUUUCUGUUUUUUUGUUCCUGGGAACAAAAAAGGAACAGAAACGCGUUUGGGUGCGUUUCUGUUCCUUUUUGUUCUUUUGUUCCCAGAAACAAAAAGGGAACAGAAAUAAGAAACAAAAAAUUCUUGUUUCUUAUUUCUGAAACAUAUUUGAGGAACAAAAAAGAAACAAAAUGGUGUUCUCUUGCGACCCUCUCCUCCUGCAAGCGUCUCCACCGUCGUCUUCUCCGGCGCCUCCCACUCUCCGGCGCCGACAGCCGCCUCUGUCUUGAGACCAUCCGGCUUCUCCACCAUCGACCUCUCCGGCACCGACAGCCGCUGCAAGCGUCUCCACCUGUGAGCGAGUGACGUAGCUGGGUCGUGGGUCGCUGGGCGGCGACGGUGGCUGCGGUGCUGGGCUCGGCCGUGGGGUCUCGAGCGGCGGACGUCUACGAGCAGAGCGGCGAGGACUGCCGGUCGAGUCGUGGGCCGGCGCGAGGUCAACGAUCGAGCGGAUCUCGAAGUCGUGGGUCACGGUGCGGUGAGAUCUGAUGCGGCGGUGGCGAACGAAGGCUCGAGACCUGCAGAUGCGUCGAUCGGGCGUGAGGCGGAGGGGCGGUCGCCGAUGCGGUGGCGGCGAGGAGGCGUCGAGCGCGGUCGCCAAUGCGGUGGAGGGAGACGACGGUGUGGCUCUAGGUCACCGUCGGCACGGCGCGGCGAGGCCGACCUCGCGCCUGGCUGGGCGAGCUCGAUCUCGCCCAGAUCCGGCGAGGCCGAGCUCGCCCAGCGGCCGGCGAGCCUCGUCGUGGCUGGGCGAGGCCGCCGGCGACCGGCCAAAAGAAGAAAAAAGGAAAAAGCAAAAAGGAAAAAGGAAAAAGAAAAAAAGGAAAAAUAAAUAAGAAAAAUAAGAAAGAAAAUAGAAAAUAAAAAUAAAAAUAUUAAAAAAUUAAAAGAAAUAAAAAAAUUAUACAAACUUACCCAAUGUGUUUCUGUUCUUUUUAUAUUUCUAAAAUGAAUUUACCAAACGCAUUUUUUUGUUUAAAAAUUGUUCCUUAGAAUAGAAACACUUUUUUUUUAUUUCUGUUCCCAGAAAUAAUUUUUAAACAGAAACGUUACCAAACGCACUUUUAAUAUCUCAAAGCUUAAAGUAAAGCUACUCAAGAGGAGUUGGAAGAGUUCCUCUUGAACUUGGGCGCCGCCCCAGGACAAUGGAAAGCGAUACGAACCUUUCGGCUCAAAGAAAAGUCGAAACGAAAUGUAAUUAUUACCAAGUAAUGUCACGUACGUAAUGGCUUACGAGUUGCGAGAAGGCGUCUAUCGUCAACCAGGAGCGACAAAAAAUGGGUUUGGAUUAUCUUUAAAGAUUCGGCAGAACAUCGGGCUCUUUAUAAUAUAAUAAGGUCCAUCUGCUGCUCCGCCACCCACUCCAGCACUCGUUCACUCUCUCCCCCGAACCACGAGAGAGGAGACCAGCGCGCGCGCGAACUCCACACGGUUCAGGUGCCAAGAACGGAGGAGAUGAGUGGAGCAGAGAAGGUGGUGGGCGUGAUCGGAGGGUCGGGUUACAUAGCUUCUUGGCUGGUCAAGCUCUUGCUCCUCCGUGGCUACACUGUUCGAGCCACUGUCCGAGACCCAUGUAAGAAAAAUGUUCCCUUUCUUUAUACUCUCUCUCUCUCUCUGCUCUGCUGUUGGAAGAAAAAAAACAGAGCUGUUGAAAUCCGAUAACCCACAUGAAGUUGUGUCCAAACCCUUUGUCAGAGUGAAACCAUCAAAGCUAUUUUUUUCUCUGAGAGAUAGAAGAAUUUUGGUAGCUUCAUUAGUUUUGUGUUGUAGAUUGCCCUCUAAUAUAUGUAUCUAUCCAAUAAAGUUCAAAUCUUUUGCAUCCUGUUCGACUUUGUUGAAGAAGUGGCACGCUCAAACCAUCGUCUAGAUUCCGGAUUCUUGAUUUAUUUAUUUUCAGUAUCAGUUUUGCGCAAGUUUCUCCGGGAACAAUACGGCUCUUCUUGUCCCGCCUAUGCCCUUUCUGAUUGUAGAUGCUACUGAUGUGUCGGUGAGGGUGCUUGCAAGUUUUAGAAUUUCAAUCAGUUAAAUGGAGAAUUUUUCUCAUUCUUGUGCAUGUGCGACAGCCGACCCAAAGAAGACAGGACACCUUCUGGCACUGGAGGGGGCAAAGGAGAGGCUGCAUUUAUUCAAAGCAGAAUUGCUGGAAGAAGGGUCCUUUGACUCGGUAGUCGAUGGAUGCGAAUGUGUUUUUCACACUGCAUCGCCUGUUUUGUUCUCAGCUGCUGACCCCCAGGUGCUUGAAUCUUGCCACGUUAAUCAUCCAACGUUGUCCUUGUUUUCCUAAAUAAGUAGAUAGCUCAUGGACAAACCAUUCCAUUCCAUGUGGAAGGGGAUUUGCUUUUCUUCUGCCACAAUGAGUUCAGUUUCGGUUUUCUGAUACUUUAUGAGAAUUUUACCGAAUGAUUUCUUCUAUUGCAUGACUCAGGCUGAAUUGAUUGAUCCUGCCCUAAAAGGCACCCUUAAUGUUCUAAGAUCAUGCGCCAAAGCCUCUUCUAUCAAGAGAGUAGUUGUGACGUCCUCUAUGACUGCAGUUUUAUUCAGUGCAAAACCUCUGACUUCGGGCAUUGUCAUUGAUGAGACUUGGCAUUCAGAUCCAGAAUUUUGCGAGAAAUCCAAGGUUUGUAUAUCAAAAUUUCCUGACAAUAUUGCUGUUCAUUUCUUUCACUUGUGAAAUUUUAGUGUUGAAUUACAUUCAGAGUUCCUGUUACAUGGUGAAACUGGUAAAAUGCUGAUUCUGAGAGGAGUUGGGACAUCAGGGAACAUUUCUCUCUUAAAUCACAUAGCUUUCACUAGACACUUUUUACGGAUACCCAAACCAAGGAGUGCCUGUCUCAUCACUUACAGUUGUUUGUGUUACUCUUGCAAUUUGGCCUGGCGCCAUGUUAGAUGCUACAUAUGCUUAUUGAAUACAACAGUUUCUCUAUACUUUACUUGCUGGAGGAGAACUACUUAUCUUUCGUUUCUUUUAGCCGGUAAUCUCCGAAUGCCUUGGAUGACAUCGAAUGAAGUCAAUGUCAUGGCAAUGGUUAUUAUAUGUGUUGAAUGAGGCGAAACAUUCUAACAGUCUCUUUGGCUUAUCUAUCUUCAGCUCUGGUAUAUGCUUUCAAAAACCUUAGCAGAGAAGGCAGCUUGGGAAUUCGCCAAAGAGAAAGGAAUUGACCUUGUCACGAUAAACCCAGGAUAUGUGAUCGGCCCUAUCUUGCAGCCCACUGUUAAUCUCACUGUGCAGACAAUACUGAACUUCAUUAAUGGUAUCACUAUCAUCUAGCCAUAAAUUAUGUUUGUUAUUGAAUCUUUGCCAUUUUAUUUCAGAGCGUCUUCAUCAAACAUUUGUGCAUGCUUUUUCUCAUUACCCAAAAGACAAUCUCAAGGAGUAACUAUAGAACUAUGUUUCUGAUUAAAGACGAUCUCAAUGAAGUCAUAUGCCCUUAACCAUACUUAUGAGUUAUGGGCGCAUGUGUCUCAGAAUGUAUUUCUGCAUUGGUCCAUGGAAUAGCUAUCCUUCUUUGCUAGAUAACUGAAUUUGGCAACAUGAGGUCCCGAGGCCCUUUCAUUCUAUCUACUGAAUCUGUCUUAUGUAUUUAAGGGUUUGCUUAAUUGGCUGCACAGACACUAUUAUAAUCAUUUCUGGUAGAUUUCCAUGUGCGACAUGGUUUUCAACUACUGGCAGUGGCAGCAUUUGGUACAAAGUUGUCUUGACGUUUGCAUGGGAGUAAUUGAGGCUUAUCCUGCAGGAGCUCAAACAUUUCCAAAUACAUGCUAUAGAUUUGUUGAUGUUAGAGACGUCACACUCGCACAUAUCCUAGCUUUUGAAAAUCAUUCAGCUCAUGGAAGAUAUUGCGUAGUAGGCGAAGUUAUACACUGCCAUGACGCUUUGCAGAUUCUCCGAAAUCUCUACCCCACUUUGCACCUCCCCGAGAAGUAAGUUAUCAUUUUUCCUUAAUUCUUAUCUUCUGUCAGACUACUGUGCAUCCAAGAGAUUACGGUUGUUUUCAUGAUGGUGUAGAUGCGAAGAUGAGAAGCCUUUCUCGUCAAAGUAUGAGAUAUCAAGAAAGAAGGCAGAAGCUCUGGGUGUCAACUUCACUCCAUUGGAGGUGAGUCUGAGAGAUACCGUCGAAUGCCUCAAGGAAAAGGGAUUCAUCUCUAUCUAGGCACUUGCUUAGAACAGCAUAUCACAAGCUUGCUAGUAAUGACUUGUGGACCUGUGGUCUGUCCUCAGCCUUUCAGCUCCUAAAUCAUACAACUGUUCUGAAUAAUGUAUCAUUACCCACUUUUAGAGAUUACACUGCCAGUUUUUCCCAGCUAAUCUUAAGUUAUUGAUGUUUAGUUUCUCUGUCCAAUUUGCCUGCCGAAACGACUCAUCAUAUAGAACAUCAGAAAUAAUCUCGAAGACUUUGUAAGCAAUGUCGAAAACUUGUGAGAUAAAUUGAGUUAAUGACUCAAGCUAGCGGUUAAGCCAAGAAGGCUCCUUUCAGGCCAACAUACUUGACUGCCAUUAUGUAUAACGCCAAUAGAAAAAUGAAGGACUUACUAUAAUUGGAUAUGAAUAUCAAAGACUGAUUCUGCCAAUGACUUAUAUGACCAAAAAUUGGUGACUCAUGGUACUCUCAAUCAACAGAGCAUUGAACAGUGUUUCUGAGCUUAACAAAACCUUGAUAAUAAUAGCUGGAUCAUAAGUAGACAAUGCAUACUGGCUGCGAUUGCCAUCCCGAUGCAAGAGAGCUUUACACGACCAAAUUGCAUCUGAACUUGCAGCACCUAAUAGUUGAGCGUGCACUUUCUGUCUGCAGACGUAAUAUGUGGUUAUCAAACAAUCAAUCUUCACUUCUGAUGAAAGCAUCUGAACUGCCAUCUCAUUUCAUCUGCAUAUGCAAUGGUCUGACAGGCCUUUGUAUAACUCCCACUGCAUUAUCCCAUCCAUAGCUUCAACACCUUAUCUUCACCACCAGAAGCAACAUUCUCACCAUCUGGAUUCCAAUCGACCGCAAAAACCUUCUCACGAGAACACGUGCUAAAAUAAGUAAGUGGUAGUCCAUGAUAGACAUACAAACUUUAAACUUGUCUGAUGACAAUGUUAGGGGAACAAACCUCAUCCGUAUGACCCGGAAGAUCUUGUUUCAACUUCUUCAUGCGAAUAUCCCAGAUCUAAAAGUAAGCCAAAUAUUGAGCAAACAUUUAAGCAUUCAAAUCAGGCAAAAAUUCAUAAUAAUCAUAACCGGUAAAAAGGGCAGACUCCACAUGCUAUUGACAUUUACAAAUAGUUCAAACAGAAUUAAACAACAAGCAAGAGUACAUCACUCAAGCUUCCAUUCGUACUCUGCUUUACAAUAUCCUCAUCACCAUAUCUCGCAAAAUAAGCAGACCUAACAUGGUCUAACGGUUCAAAAAAUAACUUUAAAUAGACCAUUGAGAUCUCAAUGAAAACAAGUUGCACUAGAACUCAGCAACAACCGGGGGCAAAAAUCCUUAUUGCUUGCACCAUAAAUAAACUAAUUUCCUGUAACACUGAUAUUAUUUUCACAGAUAAUAUUACAAGCUCUCCUGUUACAAUUCUAAGUGACCACACUUGAUCUCUCUUAAAGCUGGCCCAUGACACACGUAAGUACUUUACGGAAAUCAUUCAAAUGCUAUAUGCUUUGUGCAACUGACCUUCAGGGUAGUCUUUGCUCCCACUUAAAAUAAGUCUACUAUCCGCAGACCAACUGUGCAUUAUGUAAAUCAUGAUUAGAAAUCAUUCUUGAAUGGAUAAGACGAGCAAAUUUUGAAAAUAUCUCAAACCUUAUCUGAUAUACAGGCCCGACAUGUCCACUGAAUGCAGCAACAAACUUCCCAAUGAUACCAUUACACAACUUCAAAGAUCUAUCAAACGAAGCACUAGCCACCCAUUGCCCAUCCGGUGAAAGGUAGACACGAUCCACAAGCUGCAAACAAAAAGCAUAAUUUCCCGCAUUUACACCUAAGACAGUUCAACAAGGAUCUAAAGUACUAGCCUCAAGAAAAUAUUAGGAGGAUGUCUCAUCCAUUGAACCAGUGCCACCAGGACCACAAUGUGGAGGACGUCCUUAUUUAGCAUCAUUAUGGCAAUUGAUAGUAUAUAAUGGAACACAAACAGUCUUCUAAAUACAGUAAAGACUUAGGGAAUCAAUCACACAGCAAAAGCAGGCAGCUGUCAAAUCAAUCUCCCUCCCUCCCUCCCUCCCUCCCUCCCUCCUCCCUCCUCCGUCACACACACGCACACACAUACCUGUUGAUGAUCGGUCAAGAACGGACAAUCAUGUUUUUGGAUGCUUACUGACAUAAGGUUCCCCACAAAACAGAGUAAUGNNNNNNNNNNNNNNNNNNNNNNNNNNNNNNNNNNNNNNNNNNNNNNNNNNNNNNNNNNNNNNNNNNNNNNNNNNNNNNNNNNNNNNNNNNNNNNNNNNNNUUUCAUUUUCUUGUAACUUUCUAAUGCAACUAUGUUCAUCAACAAAAUACAGAAGUUCAUAUAACACUUACCAGAAAGUAGAACUACAAAUGUGCAUAGACCCAAAGGCAGAGAAUCACCACAGAGCCAGAAGACGUGCUGACUAAUGCAUACUAGGUUGUAAGAAAAUAAUGUCCAGAGAGAAAUAACCAAUGCAUACUAAGUUGCAUGAGCAAAUCAAUAUGCAGAGAGAAAUAAAUGUUUGAUUUAUUGCCUCAUGAUAUAAAGAUGAUUCCACAUAAUAACAGUUACCUACUUGCUUCAUUUCUUCAGAAGAUGAAUACUGUUUUCCAGUGUGAUCAAAAGCUACAGUUCGAAGAACAUACUCAGUGCUCAGAGCAGGAGUUAACCCAGUGUCCAUGAUCCUACAACAAAAAUUUUACAGAAAUAAGGAUGAUCGUGAAAAAAAGAAGAGAGGGAUCUAGCAGCAACUUAGAUUAAGAAUGCGGACUUGGCAGUAGAAACUAAGAAAAGACAUAAUCACGCGAGCCAUGAAAACUAAACUCUAACCUUAAUAUGCAAUUCAUAUCUCAGACAUCAAAAAAUGGUGGUAUUUCAUUCCUACCGUCAAUAUCUCCCAAGAACUAUACAAUGAAAACAAUCAAGGACAUGAUAUCGCCAGUAGCUGGGCUAAAUAAUAUGCCCAAUUAGUAUGGGGUAGGUCACUAGUUGUCAAACUGCCUCCUGGCACUAAAGAGAUUGAGUGAAUGCAGCUACUCCAAAGGCGCAAAUAAAUAUAAGGCUCUUGUGGCGAAGAAGAAGACAGGCAUGCAAUGACCCUGCAAUCUGUAUAACAAACUUUAAAAAAGAUGUUACCUUCAAUUCCCUUAUCACCUUCCCCUGGGAGUUUCUCAGACAUUAAUUGUACAGUCCUGGGAGCUGCAAGAAAUUUAAAAUAAUUACUUCACCAGGCAACAAGUAGUAGAAGCAGCAGAAGUUUGGCAAAGGAUACUCAGUAGCUUGAAAGCAGAAUUUACAAGUCCUCGCUUAAUCUUAGGCCCAUUAGAAGUAUGAAUAAGUCAAGAAAACUUCAUGUUAUUCUUUUGUUUUCAUGUAGCAUGGCACUAGCAUAUGGACAUUAAUACAUCACAAAGUGAUUAAAUAUUUAUCUCAGUGUUGAAUUGCCUCUCCUGUUCCAACUUGUCAGUGGGACAGCUAUUAAGGAUUGGGAGAGAGAAUUCAUGCCAAAAAUUUGAAACCAUUAAGUGAAAGGCAAUUUCACCAACAAUUGCCAAAAUUAAGGAAGUUGCAUACCCAGUAUACAUUACAACGUCUCCUCCCCAAUUUAUGCAUGUAAUAACUAGAGUAUGACCGCUCAGACAUAUUACACAACUUUGUAGUGUUACAUCCCGUAUGCAUGCAUCACCGUCUUCACAUGAACUCACAAAGCGACGGCAUGGGGAACUCAGAUGUACUGGUUCCCAAGAUAAACCUGUGAUCCAUUUCUUGUGGCCCUGACAUAAAGCAGAUUCAAUUGUCUUAGUGGCACAGAGACUAUUCUUGCUAUGCAUCAGCCACAAAAUCAAGUUAGACACUUCAACACCUCACAAGUUAUCGUCAAAAAAUGGUAAAGGGUGUCAGAAAGCUUUCCUCAACAAAAAGGGUACACCAUGAUCUCAUCCUAUAAAGGCAAAGCUACACAAUAAACUGUACUCACUACACUAAACUUAUGGAUAUCAUCCAAAUUAACGCCAACACUGCUCCCGCUUAUUUUGCCACAAGUAUCAAAUUAGAAGCAACAAAUUGGCAAUUUUAUCCACCAUUUCCUCUUCAAUAUGGAGUUAUAAACCAAGAAAUAUUAAUAGGAAAUGGAGUUCCAUGGAAUCCUUUAAGGAAGGAUUCGUGUAACACCAAAGGUCCAAAACUAUUUGGUCCAAACAACUUUCCAUAAAAUAAAUUUAGGUCAAAGUUAAAUGAAGUUGGUAAAAGCAGCAAAAUACAAUCAACUGAAUAAGAUACUUUCUAGUCUUAUAAUGCAAUAAGGAUCAUACGACAAGUGGAUUGCCUGAUGGUUGCGCAGUCAACGGAUCCCAACAUUGGAGUUCUCCAGCCUUGCUUCCACUUACAAGAUGCUUACCAUCAGGUUACCAUGUAAUACAGAGGACCCAAUUCUUGUGCCCUGAGUAAAAGAAAGUUUCAUUAAUCAAACAGACAAAAAGGAAACCAAGUAAUUUAUACUGCCAACAAACCGCUUACUAACAUUUUUUCCACCCACAAUCCACUACAUGGUCUUUGUAGGAUUGAUAUCACAUGGAUGCAAUAACAUUUACAAGCUCAUUAUCCUGUGAGAAAAAUAUCACGUGAGGUCAUUACUACUACGUGUCAAUUGGUAACAAGUGACAAGCUGCCAUAUCAAAUCUAAAACAAGAAAAGGAAAUUGACAACUUCAUCAAUCAACGUUCAACUCUAAAUUCACAAAUUAUUUUGAAGUGCAUCAAUAGACCCACACUAAUACUUUUCGAAAACCCAGCUAGUUUAAUUGCGGAAAUUUACUUCUCAGUUUGAAAACAAAACAAGUAAUGCCUAAUUCAAACAAUUUUUGUUUGAUGAUCACCGGUGCAUUUGUAUACUAUAGCAAAAUCCCCUAGAAUGAAAUCUAUGGGAAUUUGCACAACGAAAAAAAGAUAACAAAGCCUAGUCUUGAUUUUGCAUUUCACAUCCAACUGCUGGAUCCUGAGUGAAACCUUACCAACAAGCUGAUCUCCGCAAAUCAAAGAUAUACAAUGGCAUCCACCAUUCACAUUUUUGGAUACCUACCAAAUUUCUCCUGAAUUGCAACCAUUAAUACGGGAACUUGAACACAGGAGCACAGUUACCCAUCUUCUCCUGUAUUUCAACUACAUCCUGUAGAAAGCAUCCAAUUGUUGGUUUAAUGCAAACAAAUUUCUUCAAACUUUCAGUAAAAUAAAAGAAACAUGGUUAUCUCGCAGCCACAGGUACUUUCAGAUUCACCCAACCAUCAAAAAACCUUGUGACAAUUUACACAUUGUCCUAAAGUCUUCACAGAAAAAGAAAACCACGCUUUGCUUUGCUUUAAAGCUAAACUAGUAAUGGAAGUUAAAGAAAUGAAAUGGCUGUUAUCUAAACACUAGUUCCAUGAAACUACUGCAAAAGUAAUGAAGAAAGAAAGCAAAUUCAAGCUUCAGUUACUUGAAUAUAUUGCAAUUGUCCCCAGGCACAAAAUCCAAACUAUCCGCACUUGAACAUGGAAUGAGACAUGGGCUGCUAAAGGUAACGAAAGUACUUAAGACUAAACCAACUACCAAGAUACAAGACAAAUUUGCCAUCUCAUUUUAGGCACCAAUAGAGAGACUUGAACGAUCAAGCCAAAACUAUUUAGCGCCAAAGAGAAGAAAAAAAAAAGCCAGAAAAUUCAGCGCAAUCAUAGAAGCGCCUAACGAAAUGCAAAAACAGCGAGGGGAAAGGGAAGGCCGACUGCAAGAGGGAAGGCCGCGGGCGAGGCGAGGCGAGGCGACCGACGGACCGAGAGCGAGAUUAGGGAGAGAGUUUUUUGAGAGGGCUAGGGUUUUGUCCAUCAUUAUGCGUGAGGAAAGGGGAGAUUGCGAAAACGCGACACGCGAGCUCAACUAGAGGAAGCAGAGGUAGCAAGCAAGAAGAGAGAAACGCUGCGGGAAUUAGCGAGCGACCGAGAGGAAGAAGCGAACCUGCAGCAGAGCCUCGAGACGGGAGCGAAGAACCAUAGAAAACGCCGUUCUGAACGAAGAAGAAGACGGAGAAGAGGAGGAGGAGGAGGAGGAGAGAGAGAGUCAGCAGAAGCCGUCAGGGAGCAGCAGAAUUAAAGAAGCGGGAGACGUACAGUCCGGUAAGCCUGCGUGCUGGUACAUGAUGGAGUAACAAAACGCGGGUUCUCAAUAUUUGAAUUAGUAGGUUCGUUCAUCAAAAUUUUGUUACGCCCGUGUUUAGUUAGGAAAGGGUGACAUUUAAUCAGGAUGGUAAGUCAAGAUUCCAUCUCAGUAUCACCAAAAUUUCAAUUUCUAGCAAAACGAAUGAUGCGAAUGAUGAUAAAAGGGAAAUUACCCACUUUACCACUUGUAUUUUCAUAUUGCAUUUUUGCAUCCUCGAUUUUAAAUUCACUACUAAAUUUUGUCAAACCAAAUUGUAUUAUUAAGACCUCUGUAUUAUCAUGAGAAUUUGAUAAUUUAUGUCUCUCGAAAUAGUGGUUCUGGAAUGCAAAAUAAGGUGGGUUGUCAAGUUAACGUCAGUUAUAUUUGUGACAAGCGCAUCUACUCUUUCAUUGCAUUGAUUCAUAGUCUUUUUAAUUUGAGCUUUAAUGUGUGUUCUCAAAAACUUUAGCCGGAAAUUGCUAAAGAGCAUAAAAUUGGCCUGUUGUGAUAAACUCUACACACCUGAUUGAUCCUUUAUUAAAGUUGGAAAGCUUCAUUCAACAUGUGACAGUGACAUUACAAUCUUAGGUAGGCACUACCACACAUCUAAGGCUGCUCCUCUAUUAUAGCCUCAGCGUGAUUAAUUUCUUUCAUGGAUUUGUCCUUUCACAUGUAGAUAACUAAGAUAGGUACUUCUCCAGGAUGUUGGACAUCUAUCAAUGCCAAACCAACGCCAACAGAUCCCAAACCGGUUGAUGCGCCUCCGUCACUGCUCCGCCGCCCCUCCGCGUCGAUCGGUUCCAUGGAUCUACCCGGGAACUGGACCGGACCGGCGGUCCGGUUCUCGGGUGGAUCCAUGCAACAAACGGAUGGAUCCCGGUUCCAAUUUUUCGGAACCGGUCCUUAACGGGCGGUUCCCGGUUCUAGGUCAGGAACCGCCUGCCCGAACCAUGCACACCCCUAGUGCCAAGAACGGAGGAGAUGAGCGGAGCAGAGAAGGUGGUGGGCGCGAUCGGAGGGUCGGAUCUCUAUAAAAAAUAGUCACUUCUAGCAUGAUAUUGAAUUAUUGUAAUGCCAAGCAAUUGUAUCUUCCUUGCCCUAAGGAUUUGUUGUUCACCAAUUGGAUUCUCAACCUUUAUACAUACGAAUAUGCUCUCAUAUACCUUUACCAAAAAAAAAAAAAAAUAGGCUCUCAUGUAUUUUUCUGACUUAGGCGCGUUAGUGAGAAGCUUCUCAUUACUUACUCUUAAAGUGGUGAUUCUAGAAUGCUAAAUGAGGCAGCGUUGUCAAGUUAAUGUCACUUAUAUUUGCGACAUACGCAUGUGUUCUUUCAUUGCAUUAACUUAUAAUAUUUCUAUUUUGAGUUUUGGCAUGUCCUUUCAAAAGCCUUAGCAGAGGACCCCGCUGGAAAUUGCUAAAGGGCACAAAAUUGGCCUGUCGUGAUAUAGACCCGACAAGCAUGGUUGGUCCUCUAUUAGAGCCUGAAAACUUCAUUCAACAUGCGAGUGACAUUAUACAUAGGCACUAGCCCCACCUCUAAGGUUGGUGAUUUACUACUCGGUUCUUUAAAGAUUCGGCCGAGCAUCGGGCUCUUUAUAAGUCCAUCUGCUCCGCCACCGAGUCCAGUACUCGUUCACUCUCUCCCCCGAGCCACAGGAGACGAGACCAGCGUGUGUGAACUCCACGGUUCAGGUGCCGAGAACGGAGAAGAUGAGCGGAGCAGGGAAGGUGGUGGGUGUGACCGGAGGGUCGGGUUACAUAGCUUCUUGGCUGGUCAAGCUCUUGCUCCACCGUGGCUACACUGUUCGAGCCACAAUCCGAGACCCAAGUAAGAAAAAAGUUCCCUCUCCCUCCCUCUCUCUAUCUCUCUCUCUCUCUCUCUCUCUCUCUCUCUCUCUCUUAUGCUCUUUUACGCUUCUUGGGCAUUGUCAAGCUGUUGGAAGAAGAAAAAACAAAGAACCGUUGAAAUCUGAUAAUCCACAUGAAGUUAUGUGGAAACCCUUUAUUAGAGUGAAACCAUCGAGCUAUUUUUUGUGAGAGAGAAGAAUUUUGCUAGCUUCAUUAGUUUUGUCUAUAUAUCUAUCUGAUAAAGUUCCGAUCUUUUGCAUCCUGUUCGACUUUGUUAAAGAAGUAGCACGCUCAAACCAUCGCUCAAUUCCGGAUUCUUGAUUUAUUUAUUCUCGCAUCAGUUUUGCACAAGUUCGUCCAUAAACAAUACGACUCUUCUCGUUCCGCCUAUGCCCUUUCUGACUAUAGAUGCUACUAGUGUGUCGGUGAGGGUCCCUGCAACUUUUUAAAUUUCAGUCAGUUGAGAUUUCUCAUUCUUGUGCAUGUGCAACAGCCGACCCAAAGAAGACAGGACACCUCCUGGCACUGGAGGGGGCUAAGGAGAGGCUGCAUUUAUUCAAAGCGGAAUUGCAGCAAGAAGGGUCCUUUGACUCCGUAGUCGACGGAUGCGAAUGUGUUUUUCACAUUGCAUUCCCCUAUCUGCCCUCAGCUGCUGACCCCCAGGUGCUUGAAUCUUGCCAUGUCAAUCAUCUUUCAUGAUUUGUUACGUGCUUAAAUUCCAACGUUGUCCUUGUUUUCCUAAAUGAGUAGAUAGGUCCAUGUGGAUGGGGAUUUGCGUUUCUUCUGCCAUAACGAGUUCAGUUUUGGUUUUCUGAUACUUUUAAUGAGAAUUUUACCUAAUGAUUUCUUCUAUUACAUGACUCAGGCUGAAAUAAUUGAUCCUGCCGUAAAGGGCACCCUCAAUGUUCUAAGAUCAUGCGCCAAAGCCUCUUCUAUCAAGAGAGUGGUUGUGACGUCCUCUAUGGCCACAGUUGCAUUUAGUGCAAAACCUGUGACUUCGGGCAUUGUCAUUGAUGAGACUUGGGAUUCAGAUCCAGAAUUUUGCCAGAAAUCCAAGGUUUGUGUAUCAAUAUUUCCUAACAAUAUUGCUGUUCAUUUCUUGAAAUUUAACUAUCGAAUAACAUUCAGAGUUAUUGUUAUAAAGUAAAACUGGUAAAAUGUUGAUUCCGAGAGAAGUCGGAACAUCAGGGAACAUUCUCUCUUAAAUCACAUAGCUUUCACUAGACACAUUUUACAGAUGCUCGAACCGAGGAGUGCCUAUCUUAUCACUUACGGUUGUUUGUGUUACUCUUGCAAUUUAGUCUAGCACCAUGUUAGAUGCUACAUAUGCUUAUUGAAAACAACAUUUUCUAUAUACUUCGAUUCAUGGGGAACUACUUGUCUGUCAUUUCUUUUAAUUGGUAAUCUCCCAAUGCCCCUUGGAUGACAUCGAAUGAAGUCCAUGUCAUGGCAAUGGUUAUUAUAUGUGUUGAAUGAGGCAAAACAUUCUAACAGUCUCUUUGUUUUAUCUAUCUUCAGCUCUGGUAUAUCCUUUCAAAAACCUUCGCAGAGAAGGCAGCUUGGGAAUUUGCCAAAGAGAAUGGAAUUGACCUUGUGAUCAUAAACCCAGGACAUGUGUUCGGUCCCUUCUUGCAGCCCACUGUUAAUUUCUCCGUGGGGUUAAUACUGAACCUCAUCAAUGGUAUCACUAUCAUCUAGCCAUAAAUUAUGUUUGUUAUUAAAUCUUUGCCAUUUUAUUUCAGAGCAGCUUCGUCAAACAUUUGUGCAUACUUGUUCUCAUUACCCAAAAGACAAUCUCAAGGAGUAACCGUAGAACUAUCUAUCUGAUUGUAUGCCCUUAAUCAUACUUACGAGUUAUGGCCACGUGUCUCAGAAUGUCAUUCUGCAUUGCUCCAUGGAAUGGCUAUCCUUCUUUGCUAGUUAACUGAAUUUGGCAACAUGAGGUCCUCAGGCCCUUAAAUUCUAUUUAUUGGAUCUGGCUUCUUUAUUGAAGGGUCUGCUUGAUUGGCUGCACAGACACUAUUAUAAUCAUCUGUUAGAUUUCCACAUGCGACAUAGUUUUCAACUACCGGCAGAAGCAUCUAGUAUAAAGUAAAAGUUGUAUUGACGUUGGCAUGGGAGUAAUUGAGGCUUAUCCUGCAGGAGCUCAAACAUUUCCAAAUACAUGCUAUAUAUUUGUCGAUGUCAGAGACGUCGCACACGCACACAUUCUAGCUUUUGAAAAUCAUUCAGCUCACGGAAGAUAUUGCCUAGUAGCCAAAACUGUGCACUGCCAUGAUGUUUUGCAGAUUCUGCGCAAUCUCUACCCCACUUUGCACCUCCCUAAGAAGUAAGUUAUCAUUCUGCCUUAAUUCUUAACUCAUCUUCUGUCAGACUACUGUGCGUCCAAGAGAUUUACGGUUGUUUUCCUAAUGGUGCAGAUGCGAAGAUGAGAAGCCUUUCUCUUCGAAGGAUGAGAUAUCAACAAAGAAGGCAGAAGCUCUGGGUGUCGACUUCACUCCAUUGGAGGUGAGUCUGAGAGAUACCGUCGAAUGCCUCAAGGAGAAGGGAUUCAUCUCUGUCUAGGCAGUUGCUUAGAACAGCAUAUCACAAGCUUGCUAAUAAUGACUUGUGGACCUGUGGUCUGUCCUCAGCCUUUUAGCUCCUAAAUCGUACGAUUGUUCUGAAUAAUGUAUCAUUACCCACUUUCAGAGAUUACUCUGCCAGUUUUUCCCAGCUAAUCUUAAAUUUAUUAAUGGUUGGUUUCUCUUCGCAGUUUGCCUGCCAAAAUGACUCAUCAUAUAGAACAUCAGAAAUAAUCUUGAAGACUUUGUAAGCAAUGUUGAAAACUUGUGUGAUAAAUUGAGUUAAUGACUCAAGCUAGGGGUUAAUCCAAGAAGGCUCCUCUCUGGCCAACAUACUUGAGUUAAUGACUCAAGCUAGGGGUUAAUCCAAGAAGGCUACUCUCUGGCCAACACACUUGACGGCCAUUAUGUAUAAAGCCAAUAGAAAAAUGAGGGGCUCACUAUAACUGGAUAUGAAUAUCAAAGACUGAUUCUGCCAAUUACUUAUAUGAACAAAUUAUCGGUGACUCAUGAUACUCUCAAUUAAUACAGCAUUGAACAGUGUUUCUUAGGUUAACAAAACCUUUGAGAAUAUCAUCUGUAUCAUAAGUAGACAAUGCGUACUGGCUGCGACUGCCAUCCUGAUGCAAGAGAGCUUUACACAACCAAAUUGAAUCCUAACUUCCAGUACCUGAUAGUUGAGUGUGCACUUUGUGGCUGAUUGCAUCCGAACUUGCAGUACCUGAUAGUUGAGUGUGCACUUUGUGUCUUCAGACGUAAUAUGGGCUAUCAAACAAUCAAUUCUUCACUUCGGAUGAAAGCAUUUGAACUGCCAUCUCAUUUCAUUUGCAUAUGUAACAGUGUUGACACUUAAUUUUGAAAAAAUAAAAUUGCAUUUCGAACAAAUAAAAGGAAGAAAAAAUAAAAAUGGGGAAAAUUGAUUUGAUUGAUUAUGCAUGGAAGUUUGAAAUUCUGAUGAGUAUUCAGAUUUUGAUAAAUGUAGAAACAAUUGAAAAAUCUGGCGAACAAAGGGCAAGGAUUUUAAUAAAAUGAAAGCCAAACCCAAAAUCGGUGAGGAUAAUGAUCAGAUUGAUAAAUCAAAAGGAAAGUAUCAAAAAUUAUACCCAUCAGAUGAACUGUUUGCAAAAAUUAAAACGGACGUGGAUGCGUUUUUUGGUAAAUGAGUGAAAAAUCGAAAUGUAAAUUUGCGAUGGCAAAUCGGGGCUAAAAUUCUGUAAUUCCAGCCAUCAAGGAAGCGCAACUUUCUAAAGAUCAAUAGAGGUUUUCACUAUAAAAGGGCUACAGAUUCGGAAAAAUCAAGGGGGAAUUCGAAAAAAAAUUCGAGAGAAAAAUUCGUGCGAGGAAAAAUCCUUCGUCCGUCUUGGUCAAAGGAGAAGCCAUUUCUCUUUUCUUUCUCUGACAAGAAAAGGGAAAGUCAGGAAGAGGUACAGAGAGGACGUGAGGGAGACGUGAGAAGAGAGAGAAAGAAAUAAAAAAAGAGAGAGAAGAACACUGUUCUUCUUUGUGCGGGUGUUCUUCCCACCGCCGGCCUCCUUCCGUGACUACCUGCGCAGCUCGCCAUCACCCGCGAGCACCAGCAGCAGCCUGCUCGUCGCUGCUGAUCGCCCAGCACCGCUCGCCCGACGACCGCGCUGCUGUCCCCUGCCGCCGCUGCACCAACGCUCGACGUCUGCAAUUCACCCGACGCCGCAGCAGCCCGCUGCUGCCGCGCCUCCACAGCCGCGAGCACCGUCGCCCGCGCUCCCGACCUCGUCGUGCCACCGCGCCGCUCUCCUCAGCCCAGCAUCCGGUGCCUUCGCCGCCCAUCUCCGCUCACCGGACGUUGCGACCGCGAUCCCGACGACCGCGCUCCCGCCCUCGCCAACGCCGCGCCGUUGCAACACCUCUGCUCCACCCGCGACGCCGCCCGUCGAUCUCCGAGCUCCGUCGCGCCUCCGCACCGCCACCUCGCUGGUCCCCUCGUCGCCGCCCAGCUUCGCCGGAGCUCCGACCGCGACGCCCCUGCCGGACCUCCGUUUAGCCACCCUUGGCCGGGCCCCACGGCUGUCAAGCCCAUUUUUUAAAAAAAAAGAAGAAAAGAAAAGAAAUGAAAACACAUUAGGUAGUUUUCUUUAGUUUACUUUAUUUAUUUUAUUUUACUUUAUCUUGUGUUUUUUUAGUAUAAUUAGUCUUUAUUAUAUGAUUGGAAAUUUCAACAUAUCACCCAAUUCACAACCGCGCCAGGAUUUUUUAUUUCAUCUAUAAGGCCUUAGAUGAAAUAAUUAAUUAAGCAAGAAUAAAAUUGAUAUUUUGAUAUUUAAGGCUUAAGAUCAAUUUAUCAUUUUUAUCAGCGAAAUGUUAUCCCUUGAUAUGAGUUACGUGUGAUAUCCUUGUUUUGGCUUGUCAUGAUAGCUUUGUUCAUCUCGAAAUAUGUUUGGGUUAUAAUGUUGCAUAUUUUAGGGUUUACACAUUUAGAAUAGGAAUCUUAUUUCGAAUAUUCCUAUUCUAAAUUUUAAAAUCAAAAAUCAAAAAAUCAAAUCAAUCAAUUUAGGUUGCUAGAUUUUUAAUUUGGAUUGCAUGUUUAAUUAUUUGGCAAUUAUUAAUUUCGAAAAUCAAUUAUUAAUUUCGAAAAUUAAUUAAAAAAAACAAUAAAAAAUCAUCAUGCAUAUGUCAUGUAGAAUUAGUGCAUAUUUUGUACGUCAUUGCAUAUUAGGGUUAAAUUGCACUUAGUUUAAUUCUAGAUAAUAUCUUUCUUAGUUUAUUAUGAGUUUAGAUAUUUUGCAUCUUAGGAUUAUCUAGGUUAAGAUAAUAUUUUAGUUUAAAUUAGGAUUUGGCUUAAUCUAAUUCCUAAUGCAAAUUAAAUAGAAUCUUAAUCUAGUUAAAUAAAUUUUCACAUUUUUCCUAAUUCCGAAUUUUCAUGAAAAAAAAUACAAAAAAAUGUCUUAGAAUAAAUUAGUUCUAUUCCCUAGGAUAGAUUGCAUUUUUAGGAAAAAACAAAAAAUUUCAUUGCGUAUCAUUAAAAGUAGAUUCAUGAAAUGCAUGUCAUUUAGAUAUUGUUAUUAGGUCCAUUUAAUUAGAAAUUGCAUGACAUUAGAAUUAGGUCAUUUAGUUAAUACUGCAUUGCAUAUUGCAUGAUUUUAUUUAAGUGAAAACAAAAAGAAAUUGCGACAUUGCAUAUUGCAUGAUUUUAUUUAAGUGAAAACAAAAAGAAAUUGCGUGUUAAUUAGAAACCAUAUCCAGGUUGUUGAUGUGGUUUUUUAACUUAACAUUGCAGAUGUUUUCGUUGCUUUGAGAUAAGUUUUUACAGUUUAUUUAUUGUUUAUCUGGGUGUUAAAUUGGUGGAUUGCGCACCCGCAUGAUCACCUAACAUGUUAGGAAAAUAGAUUUAAAAUCAAUUUAAGCUGCCUGCAAAAACAUUUUUGCAAAAUAAAAGAAUGGUAUCGAAAGAGCAUUAGAGAAAUCUAGUGUAACCAAGUCCCCGUACCCAUAGUCUCUGGUUCGUAGGAGUAAAGUGAAACUCCCGUUACUUUACUUGGGUUUCUAAUCGACCCACCAAAAAAUAAAUUAGUGGCGACUCCUGUUUAAAAAAUAAAUUGCAUAUUAAGAACUUGAACUUAAGUCGCGAAUUGGUAUGGGCUUGAGAGAGCCUGAAUUAAAUCUAGACUUAAUAAUCCAUUAACCAAAUUUUAAGUGGUUCACACCUCGAAAAAUAGGUCGCGACAAACGGUCUAGGCACCUGCUUAAAAACAGCACGACACUAGCUGAUAAUUCGGGGUUCCUUGCUUUCUUUCCUCCGUCACAUCCUGCAUACUCAUAUGUGCAGAAUAACCUAUGCGCAUCCACUUUACGAAACAAGUUUUACCGGUUGAAGUUUCUUCACGUGAUUUGUAGUCCGAUAUGACUUCCAACUAGAAGUGUAGAAUAUCUGCAGAAAUCUCUAGAGACCUGCAUCUUCUUGGGGUAAUAUUGCGAAUGAACAAGUUGAGCUAGCAUUUUAUUGGACGCCCUCAUUCCGGUGUACUCCAUUAGAAGCUACGUGGAAGAAAAAGAUGACUACGUACAUACCAUUUAAAACCAGAUCAGAUACUCAGAAACCAAGGAUUUACAAAGGAAAUGAAGUAUUUCUUUUC
rnacentral:lncRNA from 1 species